rnacentral:lncRNA from 1 species
UUGAGGAUGCUUCCACUUUCAGCUUUGAUUUCAACAGGCGCUCUACCAUUAAACAAUCAAAACAAAGGUAUCUGUGGGAACCCAAUGGCAAAAAUAUUAUAUAAAAAGAGUCCACGGGAAACCAAACCAGGGAAGAACCAGUAAAGCCAUGUUCAAAACCACCAAAUCAACACCACCACCCCCAUUAUAAAAAUAAAAUAACAUAAAAUAAAAUAAAGGUGUCGGAAUAUCAGCCCACUUACCUCUAAUCCUUAUCCACUCCUUCAUCUGUUUAACUGCCGCUUCUGCAUCUCAUCUCCCUAUAAAUAUUUGUCCCAACACAACCACCUUCUCCAUCAAAUUCAGUCUGUGCAAAACCAUUUUGAAAGCAAACCACUUUGAAAGCAAGUUACAGAAGAGAGAGAGAGAGAGAGAUGGCAGAUAUUGCAAUUUUGGUAGCUGAAGAGUAUGAGAGGAGGGUGAAGAAUGCAAGGAAGGCUGGAUCUGCUGAAGGAGAUCAUCAGCUGGAGACUGACUUGUUUUCCUGCGUUUCAGUUAUGGCUCACUCCCUCCACAAGAAGAUUGGACAAGAAAAGAUGGAGUUUGUCAAGUGGGUUAUGGAGCCCAAGAGCCAGAUUGGUCUUGAGGCCUCCAAUGGCUUCUUCUCUGCUUGAAUUUUCUUUGCCUUUUUUUUUUUUUGGGAUCUUUUUAUUUAUUUUCUUGCUGUACAUGUAACAUGUAACUUGAUAUCCAGCUUCUCCUUCGUUUUCAUUUGAUCUUUUUAUAAUUCAGAUAAUCUGUACAUAUUUAUCUUUUUAUUUAACAUGUUCUGAAUGAAUAUGAUUUUUUUAUUUAUCGCAUUUUCUUUUUUGACGAGGUGUCAUCACAUUCGAAAGGGUAAUCACCGUUUGAUCGCAUUCCGAUUUGGCUUGCAUAAAGUGCUUCCAACAUUGAAAUAGAUGCAAAUUUCUUUACAUGUGCCUGAGAUUUAAACUCCAAUAUUGCUAUUAAAUCAGAAAAAAAAAAAAGGAAAUGAAAAUUGUGAAUUUAUAGAGUGGAAUUUUGAAAUCAAUUACCUUGUGAUUGGGAUGGUUUGCCUCCUCUUUUGCUGCUGCCGACACUCGAAAAAGAUGUAACUUAAAUUGAAAUAUAAGGUAUAGAUGUGGUUUUUUAAAGUACAGAGAUGAAAUUGAAAAUACAAACAAACUACAUGAACUCAAAGUGUAAUUUAGUCAAAAGAUAAUUAUAAUAUUCAAAAUUCCCAAAGCAGAUGUAAUUUGGACUUUUAUUUUUUUAUUAAUUUAAAAAUGUUUCUUCAAUGUUACAUUGCUAGGCGUGAACAAAUACGUCAUACAUCAUGCGGAAAGUUUAUCGUGCUGCUAUUGGCAUUUUUGAAAGAAUUAACGGUUCAGAAAAUGCUUCUAAAGAUACUUCGACGUCAUAAAAGUUAACUCGUUCUUUUAAUUAAUAUUUUAGUUGUACAAAACAAAAGAUCUAAAGUAAGAAGUCUCUUUUACCUCUAUCCAUGUGACCAGAGGUUUGAAACUCCAGGUAUCCAAUGAAUAUUUAUGUAAACUCCUUCCCGAAUUACUUGAACUAAAAAAAGAAAAGAAGAAAUCUCGUUGCUUAGCAAACAUUACCAAAAAAAAAAUAACAAUCCUCCUUGUUCAAUCUCAUAUCUCUCAUCUUUUUUGUUCUUCAAGAAAUAGAACUAUGAUAUGUUUUUUGGUACAAUAAAAAGGACUACAUUAUGUUGACCUAUGAUCCUUUUCGGCCAACUAGGUCAAUUUUAUUCGAAUAGCAUAAUUGAUUGGGCUGAGCGAAAGUGGUAAGAAAGACAUUAUUCUUGGUGUGAGUGUGUGUGGCUUACCAGUACAAUGGUCAUGAGUGGCAUUGGGUAUGAGCGAUUGUGGCUGGGAUAGGAACAGAUUCUCAACCAUCAGGUUCUAAGCCUCAACCACAAGGUCUUUAGAAUGAGCAAGUGGUUGGAUAGUGUCACCGAGCUCAGUAGCUUGGUGGUGGCAUUGAGCUCGAUAGAUCAAUGGUUUAAGACAGCUUAAGAAAUGCAGAUAUCCUAAGAAAUUUGGAUGGAUUAGAUGGUGCUUAAGAAAUAGCUUAAGAACUGCGGGUAUCAUAAGAACUUCUUGUUGAUAUAUUGAAUGAACAAUCGAAAUAGGGAAUGCCCAAGAACAUAGAACAAUGGCUGAGUUCGUUUUAACGAGAGUUACACUAAAUCCUAAGGAAAAGCAUUAAAAAUUUUGAACUACAUGAUUAAAGGUUAAAGAGUGCAUCAAGCAGCCCUUGGGCUUGAUUUGUUUGAUUAGUGUUGAACCCUUGUCUCAUCGUUCUCCCUUCUAUUUAUAGAUUUUUAUUUCUUCGGCUGAGGAAGUUAUUCUGACCUCACUUCAACUCCCCUCCAAUAAGAUUUUGUAGCUUCUUUUCUACACUUUAUUUGUGACUGGUUAGAAUGGACGGUGGAAAAGUUAACCUUUGGCUUGAUUCUGACAUCUUUGGACGUGGAUCCCUGACCUUGGUUCGGCCUCCCGUUGUUGCUCUUUCGAUGAGGCAAGUACUUCUAUGGUCAAAAUUAUUUUGGUCUUUGCCAUUUGCUCUCUCGAGUGAGGCAAAUAAUUGGUAUGCAAGAGCAGACUAUCUCCUUUUGUGGUCGAGCUCAAUUCUUUCAAAAUGUAAGUACUAACUAAGCAAGCUUCCCUUUGUUUGCUCUCUUGGUGAGGCAAACCUUUUCUUGAUUUGAAGACCUCGACUUCAUUCCUCAUUUAGGCUACUCGUAUGGGCUCAAAAGUCUUUUCUUAGGCCCAAAGCAUGCUUCUUCCUUUCCUCUGAAGGCCUACUCCUUUUAAGCCCAUGAGCAAAAAAUUCUAGGUCUUAUGAUAUUAUUUCAUUAUUUUAUUAUUUCUUUUCAAUUAAUUUACCUAGAAAGUAAUAAACCAAUAAAAAUUAUGUAAUAAAAUAAUAUUUUAAGUUGACAUGUGGGGUGGAAUAUAAAACCCUAUUCUAUUCCAAAUUUCCACAUAAACCAUCAAAUUCAAAUUUAGUGUUUGAUAUUUGACAUCUUGAAAUACUUCAUAACAAACUUUAUUUAGUUUAUUUAAUUAAAUUGUGAAGGACUUUGUGAUGUUUGGAAGUUUGUGGCUCUUCGUUUCAUGCGACCUUUGGCUCUUAAUCUUUCAUCUAAUUAGUUUGAUGAGGCUGUAGGAGAGAGUUCAGAUCCUUUAGGCCCAAUUUCUCUGUACCCUAGCUAAUUUGUUGACACUUAGACACUAAUUUAACUCUAAUUGAACAAUGUUAAGUCAAAAAAAUAAAAAUAAAUAAAUAAAAAAGGCCCAACAACCUCGACGACAACCCAUCACCUCCUCCUAUUCGCUCAUCUUUGUCUUCAUCUACAUCAGAAAAUUGACCAAGCAUAUAAUCCUAGUCUUCUGCAAGACAUACUCCACCGCCUAGCCAUGGACGCUCUCCCGCAAGACACACUCCACCAGAUCAUCUUGAGCCUUCCCCUCCGUCAGGUCAUGAUCUGCUACUCACUCUCCAACUCUUCAACUAGCUCCUGUCCUCCAUUCCCUGCCUUCAUGUGUUCGACUCUGGCCAUAACUAAUCGCUCAGAUUCACCCUAGAUUUUCUCCCCUUCCACUCCCCUCACCCUGUGGCAUCCUCUCUCAGCUACGACCGCUAAGGGGAAUUGCCCAAGUCUACCAAGUCACUAGUCAUCCACAACCUGCUGACUCGCCAGUUCUAUGUCUUGCCCUAGCUCAGGUCGGCCUGGUCGCGCCACGACUCAGUCUUCGUUGAUUCCGAAACUCAAGUCAUGGUCCUCACCGAGCUCACCGCUCUCUAUUUCUCCGCUUCAAACCAGUGGCUCUAGUUCUCAUCCAACCUCCCAUCAAAACCCAUAACUUCAUAUAUAGCAAUUAGAAGAAAAUAUUGAUCCUAGUCUUCAUCAACUUCAGCAACUUCAAGGCUCUUUAUUCCUCCAAGUUGUCCAUUCCUCCAUGUGAAUUAGCUAAAGUUGAUAUGAAAGAAUUUUUUGCCUUUUUCUGUUGAUGUUGUCGUUGCCGUUGAUGUUGCCUUUGCCUUGUCUUUGCUUGCUUUGAUUUCCGUUGUUGUCACUGCUGCCGUUGACCUUGCCUUUAUUUGCCCUUGCUUUGCCUUUGACCUUGCCUUGUCUUUGCCUUGCCUUGCCUUUGCCAUACCAUGUCAAAUAAAGUAGGGCAACUAUUCAAUUAUACUCAUAUAUGCUCAUCUCUUUAUUUUUCUCCAAUAUGGAGGUAUUUAUAAAGAAGUAUAACCCUAAAUAAAAUAAGAAAUAAAUCCAAAUUACAAAAGAAAAUAAAUAUAAAUUACAAUAGAAAAUAAAUCUCAAUUAUACUAGGACUAGAAAAAUGGGUCAGUAACCAAAAUCCUAACAUAGUAAGGUGCCAAAAUCCUAACUAAGUAAGGACUCGCCAACACUCCCUCUCAAGUUAGGGCAAAGAUAUUUUGCAUACCCAACUUAACAAGCGAGUCAUAGAACACCAUACUUGGCAUUGGCCAAUUGAACAACUGUAGAUAAGGCCUUCUCAUAAACCACAAGUGAAACAACUGACAAACCCUAACAAAUAGGGCACAUAUAAGACACAUAAAAGCAGAACACAGAAACCCUGUGAGCACGGCAGUAGGUAAGACAGAAUACAGAAACCCUAUGAGCACGACAGUAGGUAAGUAUGAAACAUAUUCAACAAACUAGGUUUCAUAGUGCGCAUCAUCCAACUUUUCACGGUAACAUCAUCAAUUUUCCACUUUCCAAAUUGGGGGGUCUUUGGAAUGUGGGGCAUCAGAGUCACGAGUUAGGUAACCCAAUUUUCCUUGUGAAGUAGCAUAGAGUUUGAUCAUUGAAGCCCAAAUUGCAUAGUUGGAUCCAUUCAAUUUGAAUUCCAAGAGUAGGUUGGUGGACGAAUCAGUAUGAACCAUCACAAUAGGGGUAGGAGAAGCAGCAGGUGAAGUAAAACCAGAAGCAUGUGAAGAAAUAAAGGCAUCAACAUUCGACAUAGUGAUGGAUGGCAGGGUGGCGGUAGUGGCGACAAUAGCAGCCCAAGUGAAGGACAAUUCCUCCAUAUCUACUACACCUAAUUCACGCAGACACAACUUCUCUUCACUCCCCUAAAGAGAAGGGUCGUCAAAGUUAAGAAAUAUGCAAUAUCUUCAUGGGAAAGAAAAACAUAUAUUUUUCACCCCCUUGAAGACGAGGGGAGGAGAGCAAUUAUUGCAAGGAGAAUUCAAGCACAGAUCACAAGAGAACCUGGCUCUGAUAGUCAAACAAAUAGGGCAAAUAUUCAAGUAUGGGGUUAUUCGCAGCAAUGGUCCCUCAACUAUACCCGUAGUUACAGUUUGGUCACUCAAUUCAAUUAUUAGUUUCAGAGGUCACUCAAGUAGGUGUUUUGUUGCACCAUUAGUUAUUCUGUCAAACUCUGUUAAAUUUUCUGUCAAAAGUAAGGGUAAAUUUAGAAAUUCAUCUACAACCCUUCCUCUCCUCCACAACCCUCCCCUUUCUCCACAACCCUCCACUUUCUCCAUUGCCACAACCCACGCCUUCCUCCUCCACCUCCUCCAAUUCUUGCACCAUUGCACCAUUUGACUGCUGAAAUUUUUGAAAGGGCAAAAAAAUUGAGGCUCAUCAAUUAAGAAAGAAACUGAAUGGUGUGUUGUCAUGCGCUGGCAAAUAAGAAGGGUAUUUGGCACAAAACCUCAACAGAGGAGUUAAUUACUGAAAUGACGAAAAAACCAGUAAAAACCUUUCAUCCAUGUCUAUCUACCAUUCAAAACACAUAAAGUGUUGAGACUUUGAGACUUUGCACACAAUUCCCAAACCCAUCUCCAUAUCCCUCACUAAUUCUAACAGUUGUAAUAUAGGAAGGAAGAGCCGAGCACUCUCUCUCUCUCUCUCUCUACAUUUAUGUAUUUUAUGGUUAAUGGUUUACAGUGAGUGCUGGAUUAGGGUGGGAGGAAGGAUUGGUUGGCGAGUUUGGUAUAAGGUUGGAGAAGCAAUUGAGUUGUCUUUCUCUUUCCUUUUUUUUGCCCAGAUUUUGGUACAAGGGAGGAGAAGCAAGGAUUGGGUUGCAACAAUGGAGGGUUGUGGAUAAAAGAGAUGGUUGUUGAUGAAUUUUCAAAUUUACCCUAACUUUUAACAGAAAAUUUAACAGAAUUUGACGGAAUUGUUGGAAUUUUAAAAGGUUUUAAAAAUUUAACCAUUUUAUUUAUUUAAUUAUUUUGGCUGUUUUAUUUUAUUUAUUAUGGGGGUUAUAAAUAUUUAAUAUUCAUGUUUUAUUUCUGGUUGGUGAAUGCCUUAAUUUUUUGGUUGGUGAACUUUUAUGGUUGGUGAAGGUUAUAUGUUUUUGGAUGCCUAUAAAAGGCCACUCCUCCUUUACACAAAAACACACAAUAAGACACAAUAAGACACAAUACACUAUCAGAAUAUCACAUACACAUUCUAAUUUUAUCCUUUUCUAGUUUUACAUAUAUUCUCUACUUUAUUAUUAUUAUUUUGGGCAAUGGUUAUGUGACUUGGAUACCUAUAUCUGUCUGUGAACGUGCUCAUAGCAGAUCUUGAGUUUGUGUACAAGGGGUCGUAUCUUGGAGUCUUGUAGACCGUCAGUACCUGCACGUAGGGAGGCUACAAAGGCUUUAGGACAGCGUCUUUGACGUGCUUCACCGUACCAAACUCACCUUCUUACUUAUUAUUUAUUUUCCUUUUACUUACCUAUUAUUUUAUUUUCUUCAAUUUUAUUAUACCUUAAAAGCUUUCCAAUUUGUUUAUAUGUUAUUUAUAAUAUAAAUAUUUUGUAUUUGGCUUUACGGAAAGAGGAAAACUAUUAUUUUUUAUAACAAUGACUAAUGGUGCAACAAAACACCUAAUUGAGUGACCUACGGGUAUAGUUGUCGGACCAUUUUUACGAAUAACCCUUCAAUUAUGCUCAUAUAUACUCAUCUCCUUAUUCUUCUCCAAUAUGACGGUAUUUAUAAAGAAGUACAACCCUAAAUAAAAUAGAAAAUAAUCCAAAUUACAAUAGAAAAUAAAUAUGAAUUACAAUAUGAAAUAAAUCUCAAUUAUAAUAAGACUAAAUAAAUAGGUAAGUAACCAAAAUCCUAACAUAAUAAAGAACCAAAAUCCUAAUGAAGUAAGGACUCGCCAACAUAGAUAUGGUUGGCAAUGUAGAUGGGAGCCAAUUGGGUGGGUUGUGGUUGGAGUUGUAGUUGUUGGGCUCUUUGUUUCUUUUUCUAAUUAUUUCUGUUUUUUAUUUUAUUUUUUACUUAACAUUGUUAAAGUAGAGUUAAAUUAGUGUCUAGGUGUCAACAAAUUAGCUAGGGAAUAAAGAAACUCGGUAGGAGACUAUAAAUACUGCCUUUUCAACAUCUUCUUACACACAUGGUCUAUAUUACAACAUCAUAUUUUUCAGUCUUCUAAAUUUCUUGAGUUUAUUCUUGGGCUAAAUAAAUGAGUGCCCUUAAUUUUAGUGGAGCUUUAACCUUUUUGUUUUUUUUUUUAUCACAAGCAAAUUUCAUUACUUAGGAAAGAUUAUAAUACGGUGCACUUACGAAAAAGGUAAGACCCAAAAACAUAAAGGGGCAGUACCUCCAUCCACAUAAAGUGUGACUAACAAAAGCACACCACAAAAAGGCCAAAGGCCCAAACAAAUCCUUCAAAAGGGUAAACACCACAUUUAACACACUUAACUUUCCCUCACCCAAGUAAUGUGGGAUUGUGGCACCAUUCAUCUCCUUGGAGACCCGAUGUCCCUGUUAGAAAGAGCCAACUCUCUUAGUAUAUAUUGUCCAUUUUAGAUCCCGCCCACAUAGAUUUGUUCUAGGGCCUUCAAGCCCAAAAGCGUCGUACUAAGGGAGAUGAACUCUGAACAUAUAAUGCACUUUAUUUUCCCUCACUCAAGCAAUAUAAGGCUGUGGCACCACUCCUGGUCAUCACAGAGGUUAAGGGGAGAAGCUCCCACCAUAUAGAAGUACACUGCAGUAAAAAAUAAAAAUCUACCAGUAAAACCAAAAAUCCCUCACAACAUAGAAAUACAGAAGCACAAAUUCAGCUACUCGAGAUUGUCGUGAUUUUCGUCACUAUAUUCAGUAUAUUUGUACAGCUACAAUGAGGACAAAAAAACAGUGUGAUUGCUAGUGAAUGGACCUUAUUAUAUAUUAGGCCCAUUUCAUAAGGGGAUUAUUUAAAUAAAAUUAUUUGAGGGAUACCCUUUGGGGUUAAUAUGAAUACUUUUCAAUAAUUCGAAUGUUUAUUUUCCAAAUCUUCAUUCAUAGAUCAUUUUUGCAAAAAAUUAGACAAAUUGGUAACAAUUAAGACAUCUAAUUGUAAUUAACAAAAGAGACGAACAUGAUACUUCAAGAAAGCACUACAAUGACAACAAUUAAUUGAGUGGUCAAAUGAUUUCGGAUUCAAGUGAAUUUUUUUGCAUGGAUGGUAUUUGAAUAAAUACAUAAAAGAUAGACUGUCUGAAUCAUUGAAAUUCAUUGUGGAAUGGGCCCAUAAGGGUGUCCCUCAAAUACUUAUUUGAGGAAUCCCUAAACUGUUUAUAUAUAAAGAAAUUCUCCUAUGCAGGCAUGCAAACGUUAUUAUCAUUCACACAAUAAUAAUGUAUCGACAUCUGUAUGAGAGAAUAACUAUAUGUUUGCACUUUAUGCCAUUGUAAAUAGGGAGAAAAGCAGGGAGGUGUAAUAGAAAAUAUAUAGCGUCCACACAAUAAUAACGUCCUAAUGUCAACAUAGGAGAAUUUAUAUAUAUAUAUAUAUAUAUAUAUAUACACGACCAGUGGCGGACCCACAGAGGAACAAAGAGGUGCAGUUGCACUUCCCUUAUGCUGCCCACCAACUGCUCGAGCACAUGCCUGAACAAUAUUCUUCUUUCGUUGGUUGUGUUGCUGCACUACUGGGUUAAGUGUAGUGCCUUUGUUUUUUUUAAAAAAAAGUCUUGGCCAAAACGAUUUCGCUUUGGUCCAGGCGAGAAAAAAAAAAAAAAAAACUUGCAAACUGCCGACGCGGAAGGAAGCCUCCCAAUCCAAUUUGAAGAAGUCGUGCAAGGUGAUAUUACUGAUAUGCAGCAAAUCUCAAUUUUCUUUUAGUCAUGCAAGAUGUGAAUUUCAACGGAGAUGGAGUCCUUGCUUUUGCUUUAAAAUUUGAAUUUAAGCAAUUUUAGGUCUGGUUCCUUUCCUUUCUUUUUUUAAAUGAUAAGUUUUUAUUCACACAUUGGCCAAUAUCAAAACCAUUAUUGUUGUUUUCUUUUUGUAGAGAACUCUAAGUCUUUUAUAAAAACUGAUUCAUCGAUCAAGUCUUGUACCAAAGAAGAAAAUAUUGUAUCGAUCAAGCUUUCAAAGUGUGUUCGAAUGUAAUUCAUAGUUAAUCUAGAAAAAAGAAAAAAAAAAAUGAAACAUGCUGGGCUUUUUUUUCUUUUUCUUCAUCAACCAUGAUAGUUUCAUUUUCGGCAUAUAAAUGAAAUUAGCAUCCUUUAAAUUAUAAGGCUAUUUGGUUGUCAAUUUUUUUCAAAACUUUUAGCCUUUCAAAAUUGCACAUCUGUCGAAAAAUUCACGAGUCCGCCAGUGUACACGACAAUUAAUCCACCUACUAUGUUUGACUAGCUCACCAUUAUCUUUCGUGUUAAUAUAUCAUGAGUGUCCCAAUGGACAACGCACAAGAAGUUCAUUUGCUAAUAACUCAAGUGGAAAUGGCAGUAAUGGGUUUUACUAACUUUAUCAGGAAGGAUCGCUAAUUAAGCAGAUUGCACAAGACGAUUAUUUGUGAAUACAUUGUACAAUUAAUAAUUUCAAAUUUUAAUCUUGCUAAUAAAUUGCUGUUGAAAAAAGUGCAAAUAGUAGGUUAACAUUGUAUUAGGUGUAGAACUCCAUCAAAUAUACCAUCAAAUUUACCUACCAAUAUUUUAUUAUUUGAGGAACUAUCAUUGUAAACUUUAGUAAGUAUAUACUAAUUUCUGGUUUGGUCACUCCAAUUUAGUUCACCAAAUAUCCACUUUGUUUGACCCUCCGGGCAUGCCAAAACUUGCCAGUUAUCUCCAACCAAACCCAAGUCCCUAAGUUUUGGACAUCUAUUUUGAAUCCAAGCCAAAUACUUUAACAUUGCAAAGAUAUUACAACAAAACUUCAUGCAAGGUUCCAAAAUUAAAGUUAUAGUGCAAGCAGUGAAUAUGCAAGAAAAUAUCAAAUGAAAGCAAGAAGUUCUUGGCCCCAGCUUAACCCCACUUGAAAUGCGUAAACAAAUGCGUAGGGUCUAUAGAAACACAAGGAUUCAAGACAGUGUCACAAUCGAAAGAUCACUUUGGAUAAGAUAUUCAUCUCAGAAAAUCUUGUACUCAAACUGCUUUUGGAUAAUUCAAUGUGCUUUCCGUAUACAAUUUUAUUGCAAUAGAUAAAAGUAACUUGCACAUUUAGUGCUAUUGGAGAAAGCACCUCUCAUAAGAAAUGCUGUAAUGUAGACAUGUGCUUAAGCACUUUUGUUUUUUUGUUUUUGUUUUUUGUUUUUCUAGGGAAGAUCAUGGAAAUUCACUCAUUGAAAUAAAGGUUUACAUCUUUCUCAAGUGUUGGGAGCAGCCAACUAGGAGGCAAGCAGACCUAAUCACAUGAGACUAUUACGAAACUAGUAGCUUUGUGAAAUUUUUAUAUGUUUUUAACAACACUAUUACGAACACAAAAUGUACAAAAUGGUAACCAAAAAUUUACAAAAUAUGCUCCGUAAAAGGCUACAUAAAAAAAUUAUUGUAUUUUUUGUUGUUGUAAAGAAAUGAUUUUAUAUAUAGAACCAAAAACACCUUACAAAAAUCUGAAAAAAGCACAUCCCGAAUGAUAUUUAAGUCCCGAUACCAAACGGACUCAACAUACAAUGAUAAAACAAAACAAGCUAAUCUAUGGGCCGUGAAUGGAAGAUAAAAAACAGGAAGGGACAAUUCAUGCUUUAAUAUUUUAUGUACGUACAUAGCUAGGGAACAAAAAAGGAAAAAGAAAAAAAGAAAAGGCAUACUAAUUCUUACACGAGAAACUCUGAUUAGAAAAAUCUGUGUAAGCUGUUACCCUGUAACGAAGAUAACAAGAAAAUAAGCUCCUCAUCGCUGCCAUCAUAUUGUACCUGAUUUCUCAGCCGAUGAUAGCUAGCCACAACAUCGUCCGACAAGACCUUAGUCCGGCAAAGAGGACACGUGGCCCAAUACUGUUGGAGCCACCUGUCAAGGCAGUUCUGGUGGAAUGUGUGCUUACAUUUGAGCUGCCUAAUCUUGUCACCUUCCUCAAAGUCUGAUAAGCAAACUGAGCAUUCUGUUGCCUCUGGCCUCACGCUCCUCAAUUUUUGUGUGUAACACGUUGUUGGAUUUUUUUGCUCUAUGAGCUUGAGGUAUUGUGUGGUAGUGAUCACACGUUUGCUCGAAUUCGGAUUGAGACCGGCAAUCGAACGGACGAGAAUUACAAUUUCGAGGAUGAGGAGUGUGAAGAAGAUUAGGGUUAUGGUGUAGAGGUGGGAGAAGAAUUGAGAGAGAGCUCCCAUGGCUGCCGAAGACUAAAGAAAUGAAGAUAGAGGGUGAGGUCAAGUUAAUACAAUGAGACUUUUUGCCUUUUUGGAUAUAACAGCGAAUGUGGGCAAGUGCAGUGCCCUUGUGUUGUCCCAUCUUUAAAUAUCUUAUAGAAUUGUUAGGAUCUUCAUGUUUUGGAUUCGAGGGUUACGGGAUUUUGGUGCAACCAUAGUCAAAUUGUGACAUGUGGAUAGAAAAGAAAGAAUGUAACAUCACUAUAAAAGCGUUAAUUUUUGGCUUAAUUAUAACAAUGUUGUGAACUAAAGAGAAAUUGGAGAGGAAAUUGAGAUAGAGAAAGUAGAGAAACUGAUUUUCUUCAUUCUGAUUUUUCUGUGUUUCUUUCUAACAAUUAGUAGGCAAAGCCUUCCAACAUGUGGGCCCCUUUCCAACGUGUGGGCUCCACACCUAAUUAUUUACAACACUCCCCCUUGGAGACCACAAAUGGUAUGGAAUAUGUCUCGUUAAAAAAAAAAACUUGCCAGUAAAAACCCAGUGGGACAAAAACUGGUCAAAGGGAAAAAGAGUACAUAAUCAUGUGUAACAUAAAAUUCUGUGUAUAUUGACGCGCGUGCGACACUGCCUCGUUAAAACCUUGCCAGGAAAAACCCAGUGGGAUAAAAAUCUGGACGAAGGAAAAAGAGUACAGUGUUUGAAGAUCUUUAUUGAUAGCACGCUCCCCCUGAUGCUUGACAAAAUAUCUUUAAGUCAUACUGUUGAUCACCUUUCUGAAUAUCGUAUUUGACACUGCUUCUGUGAGUCAAUCUUGAGCGACACUGCCUCGUUAAAACCUUACCAGGAAAAACCCAGUGGGAUAAAAACCUGGAUGAAGGAAAAAGAGUACAGUGUGUGAAGGUCUUUAUUAAUACCACGCUCCCCCUGAUGAAUAUCUCCUCCUGAAAACUUCAUGACUAGCUUUUUCCAGUAAGCGACCAUAGAGAUUUCCAGAGUCCGCAUAUCUAAUAACACUUGGGCUAUUUGUAAGUUCACGCAAAAAUAUGCCCGUAUAUGGUAUUAUGCUGAAAUAGCAUCAAAUAUGCCUCACAUCAUCCCAAAAUGAUGGUGAUGGAGUUGAGCUCCAUCUGGAAAAUACAACGUACGGUCCAAUAUAUUUCCGGAAAAACAUUUAAGUGCCCAACGGAUAAUCCUAAAAAAAAAAAAAAAUACUUCAAUACUUUCUUAGUAUAAGCAAGAAUCUCAUUGGCAUAAUGCUCGAUCUUUAAGUCGAGACAAAUAUUUCUUGAACUCUUCAGAAGCUUUGCAAACACAAUAUAAUCAAUGUACUCACUAAGGCAAUUUAUACAUAUUAAUAUUGAGUACAGAUUUUGUGCUUCAAGCACAUGUCCUUUAGGGACUUGCUUUAUGCAAUUUCAAUCCUCUCAAAGGAUUUUGUUUAAAAGGGAUUAAACUUUAUGACACAUUAUAUAGCUUUUACCCAGCUAUUUAUACAUCUUUAGGGAAUCACUUCUGGCGAUAUGCUCCGUGCAUUUAAUAACCCUUAAAGAUAACAUGUUGGUCUCUGUAAAUGUGCAAUAAGGGGGCACAAUUGAAUCUGUAAAUAUGGAGAAAACCCAACAUUCCUUGUUUCUACCAGAAACAUUGUGUCAUACAAAGUAGAUAUAUUCCCUUUUAUUCUGAACACCCAAGUAUAAAUUUCAGUAUUAACAUCUUUUGGGGUUCGUACUGUGGGUUUGUUCUUUCACGUUCAUUCUCAUCUAUAAUGGAAUUGCCUCAUUCCAUUUUGGCCAAUGAUAUUGUCGACAUUUAAUAAUUGAACGUGUUUCCAAUCAACACAGCCCAUUGAUGAUUUGAGUAGCUACUCCAAAAUCAAAAUUUGUCAUUCAUCAAUUUAUGAUCCCACUAUUCUCAUUUGCAUGCGCAUACAUCAAUUAUAAGCAUUUCUUUGCUUUUGGGUACCCAAGCCACUGCAGGGGGCUUUUAUUAUGUGAGAAUGUGGAUUAUAACCUCCAAUGGAGCGUUAUUUUAUAGUAGAGCGUGGAUAAUCUCCAUUUAGGGAGUUGGAACAUUUAGAACCCAUAUAUCUGUCAUGCUGCAGGCAUGCCACAGAUUAAUACAUACAUGUCAAUUAAUUUAUGGGACUUUAACCCAUACAAUUUGCUACGCAUUAGGCGUGCACAAUAUCAAUAUUGACAUGUCAAAGGAUUGUCCUUUCGGGACUUCAAUCCACAUCAUUUGCUACGCAACAGGCGUGCAUCAUAUUGAUCACUGCUAUAUCCAUAUUCUGUUCUUAUGGGACUUUAAUCUGUGCAGUGUAUUAUCAAUGUAUCCAACUUGCAAUCUGUAAAAUUUGCGUUAAUAAUUCAUGGAUACAUACAAGCCAUUCUUUUGGAACGGACUUAUCUCCCCAUUUGGUUACCUUUCAAGAUAAAAUAUCAAAUAGGUAUAUAAGCAUAAAAUAACACAAGUAUUGCUUACAUCCUUAGGUGGGAGAAACUUUUCUCAAGUAUCAUUCAAGCUCAUAUCGGCCCAGUAAAUAUAAUGUAGCGCUUGAUGAUCUAGUUAUAUCCUGCAAGAGCAAAAAUCACAACUCUUUUGCCUCUGUCAAAACAAAUAACCUUCAUAGUUAGGAUUACUUCAUGGAUUCAUUCUUCAGAUGUUCAUUCUAAAGAAAUAAAAUCUCUUAUGAACAGAGAGUUAUAAAAAGAGAAAAAAUGCAAAAAUAAUGUGAUAUUGAUUGCAAGAGAAGGUAAGCAAUCAAGGAAGGAAGCUGGUGGGAGCAGACAAUAAGCUCUCAUAUCUCCUAGUCUAGAAGGACUUCCGGAGAUUAGAGUAUAAGAUCGCCUUCACAAUUUCCUGAUGUAGCGGAAACGUGAUCAGGGAUAGUCUUGCUUCCUGAAUGGAUGAUCAGAGAUAGUCUUGCUUCUCGGGCAUAUUGAGUGCUCACUGAUAAGAAAAAUAAGUAGAUAUCGCAUCACUAGGUAUGGAGUAAACUGGAUGUCUUCUGCAAAGAAAAUUUCGUUAGUAACACAUUUAUACACAAAUACAAUGAAUAGGUAGAACCGGUGAAUUUCAAAUUAACCAUAGGAAAAUUGCGAGAUUCUCGGGAUACUUUUGAAAAAGUAGCUCCGUGAAAUCCGUAAAGCAAGAUUAGCUUUGACGAAAAUAAUAAUUGAAAACGCCGAAAGUGCCGACAAACAUUAAUGGAGGCCACGUGAAGUUUUGGAAUCUGGGAAAGAAAAAGAGAAUAUGGGGAUCCGAAAAGAUAUUGGGAUCCUGAAAAACAGUAGCCAUAUUUCCUCCUAUAGAUAUUGCCUUUGCAAAACUUGAUUGGAGCAACUGCGUUUCAACUUAACUUCCUUCAUUUUCUGAAACUUUAGUUUUCUUAAGACUUUCUUCGAAACCUUCUUAAAAAUGGCUUCCUCUUCUUCCUGCCCAAAUUAUUUCAAUUUAAAUGAUACUCCCACAACAACCAGUGAUGCCAAAGUUUGGCGUCCAUCCUUUGUAUCCCAAAAUCGUCAUCUCACAGUUAAUGAUUCUGUGAUGAUGAAUGAUGCUACUGCUUCAUAGUAGCUAGGAAUUUCAUGACUCCAAUGGAUGAAAUGCUGUUAACAGGGAGGUCUGAGGAAGAGGCUAUUGAUGACUCAAUGGCUUUUAGCAUUCAGAGUGCUGCUUCUGUUUCUAACAUGGCUGAUCGUUUGCGUGCUAGAGCAAACGAGGUUGAGAGGCUAACAACUGAAAAUUCGUCUCUCCAAAGAAUGCUUCAUGAGUCUCAACAGGAGGUUGAGAAACUUAAAGGAGAGAAUAAUGCCUUGUUGAAACUGGUGAGUUCGUACUCUGUUGAUACACUGAGAAGGCUAGACAUGCUGCAGGUCUCCAAUGAAAGAAUUUUGGGAGACCACGAGAAGCUCAUGGCUAAGCUUAAGAGGCGCCGUCCUCUUCCUUCAGAGGCUUCCAGAACAUAAUGUAAUUUUAUAGAUUUUACAGGGCCUGCACCUUCAUUGCAGGUGGAAAAAAUCUAUCUGUUAUAUGCUCCUUUCCUAUUAUAAUAAUUGCGCACAUUCUUAAACUUACACCUGUGGUUUUUACGUCUUUUUAAAAUGACGGUUUGGAACCUUGUGCCUUAUAGGUUCAAAUAACCACAUUGUCUCUCCCAAAUUUCAUAUUUUAUCGCAUGGUAGCCUGGAACUUUUGGCCUGAGCUAAACACAAACUCAGAAUUUAUUUGCCCUUUUCAAAUGGACAUGAAAUAUGAAUUGAGUAAAAGCCACGAUAAUAUCGCAAUAUAGUAGUGAAGAGCAUUAACUACUAUAUACCCACAACUUCAAGUUCAGGAUCUCUCAUAUAUUUGGAUCCAUGGGCUUCUGGCCCAGAUAUAACAAAAUAUGUGGGGAGCCUCAAUUCAUUAUUUGAGGUUUAUAUUAAUAUUAUCCAUUUCGCGGUGUAUUCUUAACAACCGGAAUUCACAAAAUAUAUUUCUUACUUGAGGUGUCGAUUAUAACAAAAUCGAACUUUAUUAAAUUCAUCAUCUUCUUAUGCCAAAGAAAUAUGUGGCAUACCACAAUUUGCAAUAAUACCUCAAGGGUUGUCCAUUUAAUUGUUGGAACUUCAGGUUCUCAACACUGUUAGAUUUUGAACCUCAAGCCAAAAUCACAUAUUCUUAUGGUAUGGACAUUUUUACAAUUUUCUGUACAUAUUUCUGGACUUCAAGCCCUUAUAUAAUUGUCCAUAUCUUGAGGAACUUCUGGCAUCUCAUUUAAUUGCUCAUCCAUGAGUUUAAGGAACUGCAAGUUCCCUUUUGUAUAUAGUGACGGUUUACCCAAAAUGGUUAAUAUUUAUGCAUACGUCACUAUUCAUGUGAAUAGUACUAUUCAUCAAGUUAUGAAUACGUAUCUAUUCAUGUGUACAGUACAUCUGCCAGUACAGUUAUCAUCCAUGUGUACGGCACUAUGAACCAAUAUGGUACUGUUACAUCAUUAAGGAACUCUAGGUCCUUAUUUACAUGUCAGGGAUCAAGGACCCUUAAGUCCAAUCACAUGUUUACAAAUACAGUACCGGAGAGACUGCCAGCUAUCAUAUUAAUAUCAUCAUCAAGGAUCUUCAAGUCCUGAUGUAAUUGUAUGAUGAGGAUCAAGGAACUUCUGGUCCUGAUCUGCAUACUGUAAAAACUCAUCAUACAACACAAUUAAUCCAUAAAAUAAAUUGCUGGUAAAUAAAUUACUGGUAUGGACGAUAAACCCGCACCAUACUUUAAAUAAAUGUAAAUGUGCGGUAAAAUAAAUUCAUAAAUUAAAUUGCUUGCUGUAUGGACGUUAAUCCCGCACCAUACCUUAAAUAAAAUUAAAUGUGCGGUAAAUUAAAUUCGUAAAGUAAACGUGCUUGUAUGGGCACUAAUUCUGCUCCAUACUUUUAAAUAAAAGUAAAGGCAUGUGCGAUAAACUCGCGCCACCCUUUUAAAUAAAUACUGUCGUAUGGGUAAUAAUCCUACACCAUACAGUAAAUAAAAUAAAUGUGCGGUAAAUUAAAUUUCAUAAAGUAAACGUGCUUGUAUGGGCACUAAAUCUGCUCCAUACUUUUAAAUAAAAGUAAAGGCAUGGGCGAUAAACCCGCGCCACCCUUUUAAAUAAAUACUGUCGUAUGGGUAAUAAUCCUACACCAUACAGUAAAUAAAAUAAAUGUGCGGUAAAUUAAAUUUCAAAAAGUAAACGUGAAUCUGCACAAGUUCCUCCUGUACACCUUUAAUUAAUAUAAUUAUAUAAAAUUAAAAUAAUAGAGAAGAUAAAGGAGCAGAGAUCUUAUCGCUUAUUCUUUCGGUGGGUUUUGCUGUUCUCAUCAAAAGAUGUUUUAGCACUUUUCCUCCUGUUACAGUGAGAUGAAUUGAAACCAGGUCCAGAUUGGCAGAUUCCCUUCCAUGAUUUUGGAAUGGGUCCCAUUCCUUCAUCACUAAAGCUCUUUGAUUCUGGCCAGACACCACUGUCAAGAACCCCAACUAUGAUGUCCUUGCCAAAUCUGGCUUUGGAUAAGAAGUCUCCUCCCAUCUUGUUGCUUGUCCAAUGCCUCUUUUCCUCUUCCAUUAUGCACUACAAUCUUCAACAGUACCAAUGAAGACAUUUUUCAUCUUCUCUCUCCUUCUCCUUCCUCUCUUAGCCUCAUGUGCAGAACGAAAACAGGUCUACAUAGUGUACUUUGGUGAGCACAGUGGAGAAAAAGCUCUACAUGAAAUUGAGGACACACAUCACUCAUAUUUGCUCUCUGUGAAAGAAACAGAAGAAGAAGCCAGAGCUUCUCUGCUUUACAGCUACAAGCACAACAUCGUGCUGAUAACGUGUUGUGAACUAAAGAGAAAUUGGAGAGGAAAUUGAGAUAGAGAAAGUAGAGAAACUGAUUUUCUUCAUUCUGAUUUUUCUGUGUUUCUUUCUAACAAUUAGUAGGCAAAGCCUUCCAACAUGUGGGCCCCUUUUCCAACGUGUGGGCUCCACACCUAAUUAUUUACAACAAACAAUACCCUCUAAAAUGCAUGACAUGUAUUAUGCUUUUGCACAUGUGGCAUCACAUGUUGAUAAGUCCAUAAAUUUACACAUUUAUAUACCCUUUAUAUUUAGUUUUGGUAGGAAAAUUUGAUUUAAAAUAGACUUAUUACUUUAUUUUCUCAAUUUUUAAUCUUCCAGAGCAAGUAAUUUGUUUUCAACAGAAAUAAGUCUUUUUGGUGGAGUUUUAGUACAAGAACAGAUGAAAGCUAAGAUCUUGAGGAUGAUUGUGGAAUUUUUCUAGAAUUUUCGAAGCAGCCAAUAAGAGCAGUCUUUGAAGUUAAGUCAGCAUAAGGUGCAAUCCCAUCAAAACUGUACUGCUGUGGAAGAAUGACUAUUUGAAGACUUUCCUAAUUUUUACUCAAGGCGUACAAUAUAAGAAUGACUAUUGGAAGACUUUCCUAAUUUUUACUCAAGGCGUACGAUAUAUGGCUGGAAAGAUAAGACAAAGACCUACAAUUUGCAUAUUUUUCCCAAAUUUUCUUGGAGGAGGAACAACCCCAAACCUGCAUGUAAAGUAACUGAUGUGUUAUCCCAGUCUAAGUAGGGAGAUGAGUCAAUUACUUACCCAUUUUGGAUUUAUGUUUUAAUUAGGUUUUGCUUUAUUUUUUGGCUGCUGUAAAAGCCCAGCUAGGGUAGGAAUAGAUGUGUGGUGUUUUAUUUAAGCAUGAGAGCAUCAACAGUGGGAGGGCGUAUAAUGAGGUGUAUGUUAAAUAUACACCCUUUGUGAUCGGAAUCACCCGCAAUGGAGAGGUAUAAACGAGUGUAAAUUUGCAUCACCACCAUGAUAUGCAAAUUUAGAUGCACAUGUACAUUUUUUUUUACAUCUCUUGCAAGUGAGACCUACAUGAGAAAAUGUGAGAAAAAAUGGACAAAAGUGGGAUCUAGAGCAGAAAAUGUGAAAGAAAUCAAUUAUACAUAUUUAGAUUUACAUCUUCCCUACUAGAGCAAAAAUUACAUUUACAACCCCAAAAGGUGUAAAGGGGAUAUAAAAGUGGCUUUACAUCCCCAAAAAUACACCAUCCCACUGUGGAUGCUCUAAGAAACAACUCUUUUGGGGGCUAUACACGUAAAGACUAGGAGAAAUUGGAGACGUUGGAAGAAUACCGCAAUUGGCUAAGUUUUGUUGUUUCUUCCUUAUGUUUUUGCUUAUGACGAAUUCUAUGAUUAUGUGUAAGUAAUUUUCUUUUGCUAGGCAUAAUGUAGCCCUAGUAUGAUAAUCUAGUUUUCUUAUUUUACCUAUCUAUUGAUUGCCGUUUGAUGUUGGAUUCUUAAUCACUGUGCUUAAUAACUUGGUUGAUUAUCUUGAUGCUUGAUCACCAUCUAGACUUUUAAUUGAGUUAAUCGGAUGCAAAUUAGAGUAAAUACCAUACUGAAUUUGAGGCUUGCUUCGUGUGAUUAGGAUUUGUAUUUCGUUUAGAGUAAAUACCAUACUCCUAGGGUUUACAUGCUUCUUGGAGGUUUUCACUGAUCUUAAUGAGUUUCUAUGUGUUGAUAUUUGACCUAAAUACCAUAGGCGAAUUGCAUGUAGGAAUAUAUGAGUUAGCCUAAAUACCAUAGGUAAUUCAUGAAGAAGAAAAACUAAGCGGCGACAUCAAUUGGUUAGUUAAUAGGUAGGUGAAUAACUAGAUCAGAUUACUAGUGGUGAAUUCAUUGUCCUAGUGCUUUUAUCAAUUUGAAUUUAUCAUCCUUGUGUUUCGUGACUUUCUACUUUUUUUUGUCUUUUAAUUUCGUUGUUAAAAAUUAAUUAAUUCUUUCAAAAAACCUCUUUUGUGUUUACGUGAGUAUGAUACAUGUUUAUUUUCUUGUUUAUAUAAUUAGAGUAGUUAAAGUAUUUUGUGAAGUAAAUUAGGUUAGACUAAUUGGAAAUUGAACUCAAUCCUCGUGUGAAUGACCUUGUAUUUGCCAUAUAUAUUACGAUUGACCUUGUGCACUUGCCAGUAUAAUUUGUGUUUAGACUAAUCAUUAUAAUCUCUAUUUUUCAGAUUAUCUAAAAUUCACAACACAAGUCAUGCUUAUAAGAAAAACAAUGAGUCUUUCACAAACCACAUCAGUCAAUAAUCUACAUGGAAAUUUGACUUAUUUGAUGCAAACAAAGUAGGACAUGAAAAGUCGACUUAAUGACGAAUUGAAUAAAAAUGACUUUGAAGGAGCAAGUGAGAUUCGUAACAACUUUUGGUGGGCAUUGGAAUAAUGAAGCCCUCUUUUAUAGCAUUAGGCAUAUUACAUAAACUGUAAAUUAGAUCAUGUACUUAAAGCACUUAGUGGAGAAGUACAUGACAUACGUAGUUAGUUAAGUGAAUAUCUAACAAGCAAUCAACAAGAACUUGUAGUUCAAAUGGUUAAGAGAAUUUCUCUAUGCAUCCGAGGUCCUUGGUUUGAUUCUCUUCUCCUACAAUAUCACUCGUCUAAAUAAAAAAAAACCAAAUAAUCAUGAUUUAAUAUAAAAAGAACCAUGUGCUUCUAAUUAAAAAGAAGAAGAAGUAACCAAACCUUGCCAAUGAAGUCUAGUCCGGUGGAAAAGGGCACUGGUUUGCAAACUAGUGGUCUUAAGUUUAAACCCCUAUGACAGUUUUAUGGAGUCUAGCUUAUGUAUGUGAGAAACCCUACUCCCCCUUCCUAACUUUGGCCCAAAAAAAAAAACAUUGAUGAUUGUAAUUUGAUGGAAAAUUUUUGCUUUUGUGUGGUGGUGGCCAACUCACUCAAAUUAUAUUACGGUCCUGUUUGAUUCAUGGAAAAGAUUUAAUGGGAAAUAAUUUCCCAUGUCUUUCCUAAGGGAUGAGAAAUGGACGAUUUCUUUCCCAUAUUUGAUAAUGCUGGGCAAGUAAUCAUAAAAUACCACUUUAUUUCCUUUAACAUGUUUGGUUACAUAGAAAUGUAAAACAAAAUUUGUUUAAUUUUUCAAUAUGAAAUCAAAUAAAAAAAAGAAUGCAUUGAAUGCUAUAUUGUAAUUCUAAAUUAUUAAUGGGAACAAAAUGGACAUGAAAAAUAUGCAUUUAAUGUUGACUCCUUUUCUCACUUUCCCAUGAGGAGGGAAAACAAAAUGGGUCCGAGGGGGGAGGAGUGCUUCACUUUCCCCUCCACUUUCUCAUGUGUGAGGCAACUAUUUCUCAUGCCUGAACUUAUCAAACAUGGAAAAACAAUUGAUUUUCCGUCUUCAAGCCUCCUUUCUCAUGAACCAAACGGAGCCUAAGUGUAUACUCAUUGAUUCUAUAUCCUAAGAUAUAAAAUAGUAACCUCGUUCGUUUUAUAAUGAAAUGAACAAAGUGGUAACACCACCAUCAUCACACCAUUAUUAUUAUGAUUUGGUUAAGUUUAGGGUGAUGUAAUUCAAAACAUUGCACUGGUGGAGAGGGAAAUGAACGUGAAAGGCAGGUAAGACUAGGACAUGUCGUUGCGUUUGUCAUGUAAUGGGUGCGGCGUUCAUGUGGUGGGCCGGCACAGCUGCCUCCUCUUGUUGCUUUCACUGUUUUCUUUCUUUUUAAUUUUUGCACAAAGAAAUUGAAAGAAGCCAAAUGAUUGUCAAUUUGAUUGGCAAUUUUAGCCAAUGCUCUCUCUCUCUCUCUCUCUCUCUCUCUCCACACCGUUUGAUCACGGACCAUAUUCAAACAUGGAAACCAUUUUUAAACGGAACUGUCUUACUGCUUUGCACGUCUUGGAAAAAAAUAAAAAAUGAAAAAACAUUUCAACGCGUUCACUUGUUACAAUGAAAGAGGAUCCAACUUUUGAUAUAAUCUUAUUUUAAUAUAUUAUUUCUACUUUUUCAAAAGUGUAAGAAUGGUUUGAAAUAAUUUGUAACUCAAGUGGUUAAGAGCAUUUAUUCAUGUACUCGAUGUUCUAGGUUUGGUUCCCUCCUCCCUAAUAUCAUGACUCCACAUGCUAUGCUUUUCUUUUUCUAAUUCUUCUUCAACCUUUUCUUUUCGUUAUUAUUCUUCACUCGGUUCUCAAGUUCUCUAUUUUCUCCUACCCAUGAAAGAAAAAUAAAUUAUACCUUUCCUUUUACAAAAAAGAAGAGUUCUUCCGAGAUAGGACCCUUACGACUACUAUAUCCUAGUCAUAUACCCACCUACUUUUAAAUCUUUACUGAAAACCCAAAUUUAAAAUAAGUUGUCAUGUGAGAUAGAUUUGUCCUAAUAUUAUUAACUAAUUACAUUAUAUGCCACCUACCUUCAUAUUUAAUUUAUAAUUUAUUUUCAAGCAUGUCAUUAACUACCUUAAUUAUAAUUAAUACUCCUUAUUAAUAGCAUACUAGCCCCUUGGCACAUCGCGAUUGGUUUUCUUUUUAUUUUUUAUUUUUUUAUUUUUAGAAUUAAGAAAAGAUAACACGGGUAGUUAUGUUCCAUAAAAGUAGGAUCUAUUAUCUUAUUUUGUUUUUCAUUUUAAUUUUUUAAUAUAAAAAAAUAUGAAUUUACCAUAUUAUCCUCAUUUAAUUAAUAAUGUCAAUUCUUAAUGUUUGAAUUAACCAAGGGCAUUUUCUGGUAUUUUGAAUGUUUCACCAUUCUCUGCCUUUUGCUUUAUAUAUAUAGGUAAAUCACCCCAUUUAUUUUGGUUGGCAUUCCCUCUACACAUCGCCAAUGCCUAAAAUAAACAAACAAAAAAAUUCCUAAAUUACAUAUCCAAUAAAUAAUGUACCUAUAUAAAAAAAAAUUAUAAAUAUGUAUAUAAUAUAGGUACUUUAUUUAUAUAUUAAAAGGAUCCGUUACUUUGUAAUUGAAAUUUAUGUAAAUGUUUUUAUAAAUUAAAAAUAAGUACAUUAUUUACCAAAAAAAAAAAAGGGUUUUUUUUUUCAAAAAAAAAAGGUAUGUUGUGUAAUUGAAAUUUCUACACAUUUUUCAUAAAUUAAAAAUAGGUAUGUUAUUUAUAGGUACACAAAAUAAAUAUAUUUACAAAAGAUAUGUAAAAAAUAGGUAUAUUAUUCAUUAAAAAAAAGGGUGGAAAAAUUAGGUACAAAUAAUAGGUACAUUAUUUUAGAGUACUGUUAAAUGAACCCUAAAAUUAACUAAGUACACCAUAAUAUUUUAAUCAAAAUAUAAAAUUAACUAAGCACACCCUAUGUAACUACCAAAAAUACACUUGGUACACCCUAAGACACUUUAUCACACAAAGUAAAGAAUCAAAAUCGAAGGCCUUUGGAAAAAGAGAAACGUAUCCCACCAAUAGUCGGUUCCUCUCGCAACCACAAAGUGAAAGAAACCAAAUGCCAAAGUGUUUCAUUCAGCUAAUAGAUUGUAUACCUCAAACGCCAAAGUCUUACCUGCACAAAAACCACAAAAUUAACUGAACCAAACAAAAUAUCACCUCAAUUGCAACCACAACCACGUCUCUACAAAAUCAUCUUCAUGUUUCUUGUACAACAUCAUUAGUAUCCUUGUCUUUAUUUUCAAUAUGUUUCCAACCAUCAUCUACAAUAAGGAAUCGCAGAGGCAAGACAAUAAUUCAAGUUAUAGUAGAUAAAUAGAACAGAGAAAUUCAAUUUGGAACAAAAAGUGAUGGAUUGCAGUUAAGGAAAAUUCAAUUUGGAGGGGGGAGGAAAUCUUUCCAUUACCUUCUGAAAAUCCAAUAGAGAAUAGGAUAGCUUUUCAAAAUCAGCAGCGCAGAGCAGGACUUCUAUAAGCUCUAUAUGCGUUUUUGCUAGUUUCACCCAUCUCUCUCUUUAGUUUCUUUGUUUUUGAGUGUUAGUGCAUGCCUCCCCCCUCUGGUCUGUGGUGCUAGUUGUUUGGGACUCAAGUAUGGGGAACUCAGUAUGACAGGCUAGAGAAAACGGCAAACCGAAUAAGGCCGGCUAAAAAGAGAAAAUUGAUGCAGCAGUCUGAACAAAGUAAACCUUCAACCAGAGAUUAUCAACUGUGAUGAGGAAAGCCGCUCAUCUUGCUAAGCUCUGCAAAGCUCAAGUGUGUAUGGUUGCUUAUAAUGGGCCAAAUGCCAAAGUUAAGGUCUGGCCAGAAGAUCAAGACAUGGCCAAAGCCAUAAUCUGCUAGUACAAAGAAGCAGUUCUCAAGUACAAAGGCAUGCCCAAAAUUCAAAAGGUUAACCUCUGUGGGUUGGGGGAAAGGAUGAUAAAGGAGCUCGAACAAAAGAUGGGGGCUGAUGACAAGGAAUUGGACAAGUUAUCUGGGGAGUCACUGAUAAGCUUAUCGACUUUCUUGGAGAGCAAGUUACAAAAAUUGGAUGAUACAAAGAAAACCUAUUGCUGAUAUGAUGGAGAGAAGAAUGUUGGGCAGAACAUGAAAAAUUGUGAUUACUUGCUUCACAAGGAACUACACCAGCCAUUAAUCCCUCAUGUGUUCAAUGCAAGCUACUCAAACAAUGGAACUUGGCCAUGGAAAAAUUAUGAACUUCAUGAUAAUAGUUUUUAACUUGGCUUUGCAAAUUGCUCCAACAAUGGCACCAUGACAGGGUUAGCUGAACAAAAUUGUGUCAGCUGGCACAAGUGAUUAUUUUAGUUCAACUGGUGAAUGGGGAUGCAGUCUCAGGUUUUGGUACCGCAGAAAACGUUGCUUUGAUGGAAUCGGAGAAGUGGAGAAACAAUUUUGCACCAACAUAAAUCAAUAGCAUUGAGCAGAAAGCUUUGGUCAUAUGGUGACACGAAACGGGUGAAUUAUAAUCUUGUUCCUCAGCAGUUUAUGGAGGCUGCUCAACCAUCCUUACUUGAUGAGGCAUUGCCAAUUUCAUUCUGGUCAAACCCUCUGCAAUUUUACAUGAAUUAGUUUUGUCACAGGCUCAGGAAUUUAUAGAGUUUAGUCACAACCGAACCAAUUGCCACAAACUAAUAAAUCUUUAUAGUUUAGUCAUUUAGUUCGGUUUCAGUAAGGCUAUAUAUCUAUACAGUAUAUACAGAGAGCUUCUAUUGAGGGAUCUUCAAAUAAAUUUAUUUGAGGGACACCCUUGUAGGGUCCAAUCCACAUUGUAUUUCAUUAAUCCAAACUGUCGAUUUUUUAGAUAAUCAUUCAAAGAUCAUCUCUACAAAAAAUCACUUGAAUCCGAUAUCAUUUGACCACUCAAUUGAGUUAUUGAAAUUUUAGUACUUUCUUAAAGCACCGUGUUCAUGGAUUUUGUAGGACACAAUUGGAUGUCGAAACUGUUUCCAAUUUGUCUAAUUUUUUGCAAGGAAGAUCUAUAAAUGUAGACUUAAAAAAUAGAUAGUUUGGAUUGUUGAAAAAAAAUAUUUGUAAAGCACCCAAAAGGGUGUUCCUCAAAUAAAAUUAUUAGAAGGAUCCAUAUAUAUAUAUAUAUAUAUGUCUGUAUGUAUUUGUUCCAUUUGUUUUUCCCUUGUGGAGUUGGCUAGAAGCAAGAGGAAGUCUCUUGCCAAAGUGCCUUAAUAAAAACAGCCCCAAAAUAAGCAAGAACAACCAUAAAUCUGAUAUCAAAGAAACACAAAGGAAGCUUACAAGUAAGCUCUUUCUCUGACUCAAUUAUUUAUUUAUACACACAUACAUGAUUAAGAAAAUAGUGAUAUAAGCAUACAAAAUAUAUAUAUAUAUAUAAUAUGUAUAAAAAAUAGGUUCUGAUAUACCAGAGGCCCAUAUGAUUAGUAGAGAGCACCCUAGCUAUCCUCCCGAAAACGACGUUUGAUCUACAGAAGCAUAGCAGUAGUGAAGCAUUUGCAUUGCAUAGAUUGCAAUUUGCAAGAACUAUAUGACUUGGAUGACAAAGAGAACCUUUGGGCGGUGCCAAAUUCUUAAAGCUUUUACUUUGCCUUGAAGGUAAAGCUUAGCAGGGCUUAUAGCUCUGCAUUUGGGGUUUCGGUUUGGUUGGUGCAUAUAUAAAAAAAAAUGUACCUUUCAAAUAUGAGGUUUCUGAAAUCUUCUCCUUUGCCCACUUUAAAAAUAUGAGGUUUCUGAAAUCCUGUCCUUGGUUUAGCAAUCCCAGCCUUUAAGUCAGUCAAAGGCAAUGCGAAGUCCUUAUCAGUAUUUUGCUUACAAGGUUUCAUGUACAACCCCUUCACAAUUCCUACCUAAUUAAUGAGCCACACAACUCCUUGAACAAACUAAAAAGAAAUGCGCAUAUUUGCCUCUACACAUUCAUAUAAAUAUUUGGCAUCUUCGUCUUCGUCCCUCAUUGCCUCAUUGCCUCAUCACAUAAGCACACCACAAGUGAAACUGUGAUCACCAGGGAGGAAAAAAUGGCUAGCAGUUGCCGGAACAGACUCUUCUCUGGGUUGCUGUUUCUUUGCUGUGGGUUUCUGGGCUUUAUCACUUCUCCAGCAGAAGCUGCCAUAAAGAAAUACCAAUUUGAUGUGAGUUGUUUCAAAUGCUUUAAUAUCAUUUACAUGCACAGACAGCCUUGAAACAACAAAUUGAAAAAUGAAAAAGGAAGAAGAAAAAAGAAAGCAAAAAGUUGUACUUCGUGCAUGGAUUUCCAGUUAAUAACAUCCUCUGUGUUCUCACAGGUCCAAGUGAACAAUGUGAGUAGAUUGUGCCAUGCAAAGCCCAUUGUUACUAUAAAUGGAAGGUUUCCAGGGCCUACAGUCUAUGUCAGGGAAGGAGACAGAGUUCUCAUCAAUGUUACCAACCAUGCUCAAUACAACAUGUCAAUUCACUGGUAAGAGUUAAACUAAAUUAACCAAAUUAACAAACAAGUGAUCAAAUCAAAAUUAGGUAAAUAUAGCAAAAUGUCAUAACUUAUAGCUGAUUGAGUUAUAUAUGUUCUUACAGGCAUGGACUGAAGCAAUAUCGAAACGGUUGGGCAGACGGACCAGCUUAUGUAACACAAUGUCCAAUUCAGACUGGAAGUAGCUACACUUAUGACUUUAAUGUAACAGGCCAGAGAGGAACUCUAUGGUGGCAUGCACACAUUCUUUGGCUGAGGGCUACUGUCUAUGGUGCAAUUGUCAUCCUGCCUAAACCAGGCACCCCGUUUCCCUUCCCACAACCAUACAGGGAAGCUGAAAUUAUACUCGGAGAAUGGUGGAAUGGCAAUGUGGAAGAGUUUGUCAACAAAGCAAACAACUUGGGAUUGCCACCAAACUCCUCGGAUGCACACACAAUCAAUGGGAAGCCAGGGCCAUUGUUUCCUUGCUCUGAGAAACGUAAGCACAACAUAAUCACAGAAAAUACAAGUACAUGACAUUUUGGGAUUGAGUCCAAACCCGAAAGGUGGUUGCCCUGCAAUUUUCAUAAAGUUCUAAUUUCAAUUUUGUUCUGUAUUUCUUGUUUUAGAUACUUUUUCUAUGGAGGCUGAGCAAGGGAAGACCUAUCUCCUGAGGAUUAUCAAUGCUGCUCUCAACGAUGAACUUUUCUUCGGCAUUGCCGGUCACAACUUGACAGUGGUAGAGGUUGAUGCAGUGUACACAAAACCAUUCACUACUGAAGCCAUACUAAUUGCACCUGGCCAGACCACAAAUGUUUUGGUCCAAGCCAAUCAAGCUUCAGGCAGAUACUUCAUGGCUGCUAGGCCUUUCAUGGAUGCUCCAGUUGCCAUAGACAACAAGACAGCCACAGGAAUAUUCCAAUACAGAGGCAUCCCCAACACAGUUCUACCAAGCCUUCCUCAACUGCCUGCCUCUAAUGACACGGCCUUUGCUCUAAGCUACAACAAGAAACUCAAGAGCUUAAACACCCCAAAUUUUCCAGCAAAUGUUCCUCUCAAAGUUGACAGAAAGCUCUUUUACAUCAUUGGUUUUGGAAAAGAAUCAUGCCCAACUUGCCUUAAUGGAACAAGAUUUGUUGCUUCCUUGAACAACAUCUCUUUUGAGAUGCCUCAGGUUGGGCUUCUCCAAGCCCAUUACUUCAAUCUCAAAGGGGUGUUUAAAACUGACUUCCCUGAUAGGCCCCAAACUCCUUUCAAUUACACUGGUGCACCACUUACUGCCAAUCUUGGGACUUCCACAGGGACUAGGCUGAGCAAGAUUGCCUUCAACUCUACAGUUGAGCUGGUGUUGCAGGACACUAAUCUUCUAACGGUUGAGUCACAUCCCUUCCAUCUCCAUGGAUACAACUUCUUUGUUGUUGGAACCGGGAUUGGGAAUUUUGAUCCUGCCAAGGACCCUGCUAAAUACAACUUGGUUGAUCCUGUUGAGAGAAACACAGUUGGAGUUCCCACAGGUGGUUGGACCGCCAUUCGUUUUAGAGCUGAUAAUCCAGGUAUGAUAAUAAUUGCAACAUUCAUUUCGAGUAAUGUUACAUGUACCACAUUUACUGACGAUAGUGGAAAAAAAAAAAAAAAACUAUCAUAUCUAUCAUAGAGGUAGAAGUUAGAAUUCACUCAUAUAUAAUAAUGACAGGCUUGAGGUUUAUUUACUUAUAAGCUUUGCUUCCUUGUUUGAAUGUCUAGGCGUUUGGUUCAUGCACUGUCAUUUGGAGCUUCAUACCGGGUGGGGAUUGAAAACCGCAUUCGUUGUAGAAGAUGGACCAGGAUCAGAUCACUCUGUUCUGCCUCCGCCUAAGGAUCUUCCGCCAUGCUAAUGACGCGUGGACUGUGUUCGUAUCAAUCUGCUUACUUACACUUCUUGCAAAAGUUGCAGAAGCUAGGUUUCUUGAGGGUUACAAACAAUUAUGAAAGGGAAAAAGAAUCAAUUUGUGUGACACUGAAAAUGUAAUAAAUUAAACCAUGCUAUGUAACAAUUGUUUUCUUUCAUCAUAUUUCUUCUGAUUAAUACUGGAAAUAAUUUAUAUAACCACAUCCUGUGCAUUUCCACUUUUUUGAAUGCUGAUCAUAACCUGAAAACAGUUGAAGCUUUACAAAAAUCUGGAGAUAGCAGACAUAAGAACGCUCCGAAGACUCGCAGGAUCAAAUUUUUCAUCAAAUUAUAUUCUUCAUCCAAUCACAACAUAAAGAUGCUACGUUCUUACUUAUUUAACCAACAUAUAUAUGUUUUCUAAAAUUAAAUAAAUAAAUUUGGAAAAAAAAAUUAAAUAAAUAAAAACCAACAUAUGUAAACUUGAUGGAUAAAACGCAACCAAUUACGGAGCAGCAUCCGUGUUUAAGGGAGAACUAACAUAAUAUAUAUUAAAAUGGCUUUCCUUCACCCAGAUCACAUAUGGAGGACUAGUUAUACAUUUUAGCCAAAUUAAAGGGCAACACUCAUUAAACCAAAAGAUAAAAAGUCAAUUACACCUUGAAAAGAAAAAGAAAAAAAGAAAAAAAGAAAAGAAAGAGGGCAAGUCUAAUGGUGGUCUGUUCGUAUAUGGGGCUCUAAAAUUGGUGGAGAGAGAGCCCAACGGCAAUCUUUGUUAUAGAGGGAUAUAAGAUGGCUCAUGUAAAUGGUAGAGGUAGAGGAAUUUUGACAGAAAUUGAGAUGUGUGCUUGAAUUGCUCAAAAUUGAAACUGAAAGGAUAAAAUUGACAAAAUUGAAACUAAACGGAUUAAAGUGGUAAAACCGACAAACUACAAGGACUAAAAGUAAACUUUUGCCAAAAAAUUAACACCAAAUUUAUAUCCGUACAACUAAAUGCUGAAAGAGGUACCAACUAAUUCUUUGAUCUCGUGAUAUUUUCUCUUCAAAAUGUUGAAAGAGGUAUCAAAUUCGAAUCCCAAGCCAACCGUGGUUUAACGGGACUGUAGCCAUACUUGUGUGAUUUAUUCAAUAUCAUUAUUUCGUAAGUAUCAAGAGCUAGAAUUUGUUUAAAUGUUGAGUAGUCACUAACUAGCUAUUGAUGUAAAAAUUACUCGUGUUGAUGCAAAAAAAUGGUUCGGUACUUUUGGGCUCAACUUAGUUAUAUAUUGGGCCUUCGGAAUGCUCUGGACCUUGGUAGACCGAUUGAUUUGCAAAAUGAGAACGCUCGGUAAGACCUAAGACACCGGUGUGGUAUCGGCUGAAGGCUCUCCGAUGCUUAAGUAAGUACAGAGUGAAUAAUGAUCUGGACGGAGUAAUGGUUAAGUAUGCCAAAAGUUCCAGUUACCUCCAUUUUGGGACUUGUGCUUCUUUUUAUAAGUCUUGGGAGGUGUUCAUGUUGUGUAGAAUUUCGAUGUGGGACUGUAGAUAUUCAUUGUGGAUGCUCCACAUGUCAGAAGGUAUUUGUGUUCUGGUAUUGCGCUCGGCAGUCGCGAGGUGCCAAAUGUGGCCUUACCGUAUCCAUCUGUGGUCCACAUGUCACUUCCUUAGAGGUCUGCCAAUUGUGGGAUAAACAGGAGUCCCCCCAAGUUCCCAAUUGAGAGAGCUUCUUAGUUGGGGACUUUCUUUUAUCUUCAGUGCCUCUGGCUUGCAGAAGGUAUGACCGAUUGUUCCGUUUGUUCGCAUGGUACCGUUCAGUGACCUUGUAGGGGCCGAGUAGCCUAGGCCUCUCUUGGGAGGUAUGGUCUCUUUAUGUGAGGCAUCCUCUAGCUUUUCCAAGGUCAUCAAGUUUCGUUGUACCAUUCAGUAGCCAUGUCCUUUCGAAUGGCAUAGCCUGGCUUGUUGAUGUGUAUGUUCCGAUAGCAUCGUUGUCGCUUGAGCUUCUGUAUGUGGCGUGCACGUUGGGAAGUGGAAUCAACUACACAGGACGACGCUUAGUCUUCUGCGCCCAGCGUGCAGACUGCCUCCACGUGUGAUUGGUGCCACGUGUCAGACUGCCUCCGCGUGUUUUAAUAAUGAUAUAUCAUUUGUGUCCUUACAUAACCCGUAGUUCGAGAUUACAAAUGAUAAUGCAAAUUCAAAGCUUUAAAUGAAUUCGAAAAUUAACUGAGUACAUCAUAUGAUCUAAGUACACUUUAAUAUUUUAAUCAAAAUUAAUUAAGUACACUCUAUUAAACUAUCAAAAAUACCCAUAGUACUGCCUAAUACACUCUAUCAGACAACACCAAAUUCAGAUGAUGAUGAUAAUAGAUAGGUCAAUUAAAUUAAAGUCCCAUUUUAGGAAAUGAACUCCACUAAAACUAAAAGAUAGGUCAUAAAUAUAACCCAGAUGAUGAUGAUUCUUCUUAAAUUUUUUUAGCAAAAAAGUUUUAAUGCUAUCACGAGAAGACCGUGGUGGUAUUGCUACUUUUCUCUUUUUAAGAGGAUCCACAAUGGGCUCUAAUAAGGUCAUAAUUUCACACAUUUGCAUGCCUUCUUUGCUUAGUAAUUUUGUUUAGCUUCUCUUUAUUUUGAGUCUCUUACCUAUAUUUGUGUGUUUUGUAGGUUAAGACAGCAAGGGGAUGACAUUUGAUACAAUUCAUGCAUGUUAAGGGCUGAGUGGCACAAGAGGAAUAUGAGCUUAAAGAUAAAACCAAUUUGAGCCACACUCCUUGUCAGUCCAGUUUCGUAGGUCAUCGUGCAGACCUCAUUUCAGCAACUUACACAGGUUGGAUGAGGAGACAUCCUUGAUAGAAGUUGUUCCAAUGGGUGUUUAUUAUAACAUAUCCAAAUUUCAGCCCAAUUGUAUAAAUCUGGAGCCCUCAACACGUCAAGGAUUGAACCCAAGUUCACAGAAAUGUCAUGUUGGCUGCCAUCACAUUUAAUGUGGCUACAAUCCCUAGAGCCAUAUGCUACACAUGGGCAGCCAUACAUGGGAGUCAAAUCAGCUCAGAAGCUCAGAAAGAUGAACAAAAGUCAAGCUUUCCAUAAAGAAACCAUACCAAAGCAUGUAUUUGGCAGCUAGAGCAGUUGGCAGUAUGUCAGCUAGAGCAGUUGGCAAGUAUGGGCAGCUGGAGCAGUUGGGAGCAGCUAAGAGAGGUGUGCUUCAGCAGCCAAAGGGGAGGACGAAAUUGCACUCUAUAAAUAGAGAGCUGCACACUCAUUCAAGAGAGGGGGUCAGACACACACAUUCACUUCAUCCAUUACUCUCAUACACACAUUCAGAUUCACCACAAAGAGAGAAGGGAGCUUGGAGCUGUCAAGGGAGCUUGGAGAUGUCCUGGGAACUUCCUUGCUGCCAUCAUCUAGUUCUUCUCCUCUCUUUAUCCUAUCUAUGUAUUUCUUAUUUUCUAUAUUCAUAGUUAUGUCUAACUAAUCCAUUUAGUUAGGGCUUAGGAUGAAUCCCUAGUCAUGAAUAUUCAAUGUUAUGGAUGAUUUUAUAGUUAAUUGAUUUCCUUGCUUUUGUUAUCAAGUUGUUAAUCUCUAGUUUAUUAUGUGCUUGAUGUAUGUUUUCUUGGAGUAGCUAACUAGGAUUUUAUGCAUCUAGCACAGGUUGGGAAGGGGUUUAGAUUCACCAAUUCUACUUUCCUUUCACAAGCAACACAUGAAUGGCCUAAGAAUCAUUCAAGGGGUUAAUAACCAUAGGUUGACUAGGACAGAUACCAUGUUCUAGGACUUGUGUAAUUAUCAUAUUCUCAAGGAGCUUAAUGACUCUUGUAUGCUUUAUUCUAAGUAGAUACCAUGCUUAGGUUGCAUAUUAGAGAUCACGUGUUGUGUAGAUACCAUGCAUAAUCACAUGCCUUAGGAGAAUCAUGCAUCCUGCACCUAGAUACCAUAGGCUUGUAUGCGAUAAUCUAUUGUUGAUGAAACUUGAGUCAACUUCUAUGCAUUCAUAACUUGGAUAGGAAAACUAGUGGUGGAUUCCAAGGCUCUAACACCUCUCAAUCAUUGUUUCACAACUUGUUGAUUGCAGCCAGUGUUUACUUUCGAGCACUUUCAUUUCACUUUCUUCUUUUCCUUUCAACAACAAAACCCCUCAUUUCGAGUGCGUGUGUGGUGCUAGGAUUCUGUCCUAGACCUUGAGUAAUUAGCAAGAGGCAUUGUUGAAUUCGACCUUGCCUUUAGCUAGUUAGUCAGUUUCUUUGUUCUAAGUUUUUCUAGCAUUCUAAGUAAUUUAACUUGGAACCAAGUUACCAUUCUCCGUGGGAUCGACCUCGUAUUUACAUAAGCUAUACUAUAAACGGUUCGUGCACUUGCGAGAAUUAAAGUUGUUGUUUUUAAUAACUCAUUUUAGUUGUUAAGAAUUGGCUCAACAGGCUCCCUUUUUUUUUUUUGAGAAAUUCUAUGAUUGCAUUCAUAAUUCAGCCAAAAAAGCCACUAGCCACAAGGGGCCAAUACAAACUAGCCACAAAAGGGUCAUUACAAUAACGGAGCGGUCUAAUAUCAAAAUUAAGACAAUAUGGUGUGUCUCCACUAACGAUCAGGCACGAUCGAAGAAACUCUGGCAUAGGCAUCCCAACUAAGAUUGCAAACUUAGAAUAAUAAAAAAUAGAUAAAGCUUGAAAAACCAAGUUAUAACAAUACAAAUAAAACUCUCACAAAGGAGAGAUGAAAAGCUCUCAUAAAGGAGAGAUGGAAAACUCUCACAAAAGGAGAGGUGAAAACUACACAGAGAACCCAAAGAGUCUUUGCAACUUAUUCCAAACAUAAAGAAAUUGCAAAAAAGAUGGUGGUGGAGAUCCGACGCCGAAAUGCAGGUGAAGAUCCGACGCUUAACCGCAGCCGCCUAUAAUGGUUAGAUGAAAAUCAUAACAAAACUAAGACAAAUAGGGAAAACUUUUUGUCUCUGAAAAUGGGGGAAGAGGUGAAAGGAGGAAGAGAAGAGAUGAGGGGGGGAAGAACAAUGGCUUCCUCCUCCCUGCUACUUUAUUUAAUGAGUAUUUCAAACAUUUAAUUAAUGCUAACUAUUUUUUAUGUUAUUUUUUAAUAGAGAUGGACCAAUUAAAAAAUAGUUAUAGCAUUUAUGACUCCCUAAACUAAAGAGCAUGAUUGAAGUUUAAAUUUUAUAGAAAGCUCAUAAUAUAACUUUUAUAUGUUUUAGCUAAAGGCUUUUUAUUACAAAACGUCCCUGACAUUUACGAAACUAUCAGAUUGCAUCCUUAAAGUUUUUUUGUAUCACUCAUGGUCCCUAACGUUAAUAUAGGUGCUCUUAAAUAGUCACUCUGUAAAAAAAAUGCUAAAUUCAGGGAUAUAAUCAUCAAAUCAAUCCUAAAUUAUAAAAUAUAUAUAUAUUUGUAUUUCCUUCCCUUCUCUCUUUCUUUCUUCUUCUUCUUUCACUCUUUCCUUUUUUCUUCUUCUUUCUUUUCUUCUUCUUCUUUCUCUCCGCUAGUAGUUUAAAAUAUGAGAGUGGUUAAUGGCCUUUUUUUUCGUGGGGUUCCAAUAAUAAAUAGAAUGUAAAACAAGGGUAUUGGCCUUGUUGUAUAAAAGAAAAGAAAAGAAAAGAAAAAGUGGUUUCUAGCUUAGCUCCUGCAAUGGAGGUGUGGGUGGUAGGUUGCCUCCCAGGGCAGGGUUGAAUAAUGGAAGUGUUUAUGUCUCUAGGAUCAUGCCUCACAACAAACGGCCGUUUAUCUCCUCUAGCAUAAAAACCAAAUAAAAAGAAAAUUGCAUUAAAAGAAGGAAAACAAAUAAAAAAAUAAUGGUCAAACCGCAUCUAUAUACAUCAAAUAGUCCCAUGUGAGAUACCCAGAGAAGAGAUAAGGAAUGAGAGAAAGAAGAAGAAGAAAGGAAAGACAGAAAGAAGAAGAAAGAAAGAUAGAAGGGAAGGAAACAAAAAUAUAUAUAUAUAUAUAUUAUAAUUUUGGAUUGAUUUGACCAUUAUAUCCCUAGAUUUAACAAUUUUUUUGACAGAGGGACUAUUUAAGAGCACCCAUAUUAACGUUAGGGACCAUGAGUAAUACAAAAAAACGUUAAGGAUGCAAUCUGAUAGUUUCAUAAACGUCAGGGACGUUUUGUGAAAAAAGCCUUAGCUAAAAUUUAACUGAAAAAUAGAGUAUGAUUGUGGAUGCUCUUAUGGUAUGAAUAGAAAAAGUCACUGAAUUCAAAACGUAUAUGAUUUGUUUCAUCAAAUUCCAUUCAGGCUUUAUAUGUGGGUGUUUUUUUUUAUCGAAUGAUGAAAUUUCAUUACAAAAAAACUCAACCAAGAGGAUGGUACAAAUACAGAAUACAAGGAAGUACAAAUCUAAUCUGUAAUAUCAGAUGAAUGGAAGCAAUAGAUUACCCUAGAUAAUGAUAUCAAUAGAUAUAAAAAUUGAUAAAAACUAACAAAAUUAAAAACAACAUAGCAACAAAAACCACAUAAAAGCACCAGCACCACCAAACAUGUGACACUCCGACUCAAUUUUUAAUCAUUUAUUUAAUUUAUUCAAAUUAUUUAAUUGUGAAAUUAUAAUUUUGCCCUUGGGUCAUUUUGGUCACUUUUUAAUCCGGUAGAAUUUUGGGGCAUCGAACCGCUCUAUUGUGUAGCGCUCGUCGAUACGAGUUCAUAGACAUGAGUGGGCUCAAAUCAGAGUUUUAACGAAGAAGUUACGGUCAACGGAAGUGCAGUGGCACAACCGUAAAUAUUUCAAAGUCGGACUUUUAAAUAACCAGAUCAGCUUUUUUUUUUCUCUCUCUCUGUCUCUCUGUCUCUCUGUCACACAGCCACAUUUUUCUAACGCUGAUUCGGCUUCGUCCGGCCACCGUUUCCGACGAAACGACUUGCAAAAUCUUCCUCUCCUCCUCCUCUACUUGAUCUGACCCACCCAAUUUCUCCGAUCAAAAACCAGCGUAUAGCCAGCAGGAGCUCGAAGGAAACUCUGGUUUUCUUCAAAACUUUUCGGCAUCGUUUCCGACUACUCUGGCGAUGGAAUUUGCCAAUCCUAGUAUGUUUUCUCACCCUUUCAACGUGAUCUAGCUGAUGGUUGGGUUGGUUAUGAUCGAUUUCGAAGUUUUGAAGCUCAAAUUAGAACCUAAGUUUUGUUGGUUUUUGGCUUGAUUUUCCGGUAAGCUCCGGCCACUUUUUGGCCGUGGUCCAAGAACAAAAGUUGUUCCCCUAGUUGUCACAAAUACGUAGGUAUAGGUAUUGUCCGGUGUUUCAAGAAUUUUUCAGUCGCUGGAAUUUUUUCAAGACACCCACGUGCAGCCGGCACAUGGGCCAUGGUGUGGAGGCAUUUUGUCCUAAAAUGUUCCUCAAGUCGUCCUGAGCACGACGGUAUGCUCGGAUUCGAAUUUGGUUACCGUUUGACGGUCGAACGGAUUUACGCAUAUUAGGCAAUAUCCGGAUUUGAUAUGUUCGGACCUUUGGAUCAGCUCCAUUUCCAAGAAUGUUGAUCUAGGUACCACUAGGAUCGUGUAGGAACUCACGGAUCGAGAAUUGGAGUCGCAGAUACUCCGAAUUAAUGAUUCAAAUAUUACGUAAAACGGUGAUCGUCUGAUCAUGCGAUUGAGAGCGAUCCGACCGCUCGAUCGAGGCCAAAAUUGCAAAAUGGGUUUAGUAGGCUUUGUUGAACUCAUAGGAACUUUCGAAUCAGAAAUCGGAAGUCACAGCCCCCAUGGACUCAGUUGACCAAAAACGAGGAGUUUGACCAACUAUUGACCACGGGCCUUUUAUGACCGUCUCAUCCUUUGGGAAGGUACUAGAAUGACUUUGGGACUUUUCUAAGGUUGUGCAUACACAUUAAGUUUCUAGGAAUUAUGGGUUUGGGUGUAUGUUUUGGUUGUGGCCUUACUGUACCAAAUAGUAUUACUGGAGUUGUUUGCCAAUGUUAAAUACGUGAGAUUUUGAAUGAUGGUUAUGGCGUAUUGUUAAAAACUUGGACUUGUUUUGAUGUUGUGAUAUUAGUGUAGUAGUGAUAUUGGUGGGAAACUAACUUGUUUGAUAAUUGAUAUUUUGGUUAAUGAGGUUUUACAAACAUGCUAUCGGUUCGAUUUCGGUCUUUACCAUGCGACACGAGAUUUUCCGUUUAUAUAUUAUUAUUAUUAUUAUUAUUAUUAUUAUUAUUAUUAUUAUUAUUAUUAUUAUUAUCGUUUAUUUUAAUGAUUGUUAUUAUAAUUCACUUAUGGCUUGAUAGAGGGGUUUAGUGUCAGUAAGGAUCUAAUUAAAUGUCGAUUAUAUGUUUACAUUCAAAUAUAUGUCUAUGUGUUUGAGUUAUAGGUACACUGGAUAUUGAUCCAGGUUUUAAAAGGUUGUCUUGGAAAGUGAAUAAUAAUGGUUAUGAAUUCUGGUUUGUGAAUGGUGUAUUAUACAUAUUUGAAUGUAGUUUGAGAACAAUUUUGGAAGAUUAUGCAUGGUCAAAUUCAAGUUAAAGAAUGUUGAAAUUGAUCUCGUUUUAAGAGGGGGAUUUUUGGGUGAUCUGUUUAAGAACUGAUCUUUGUGAAAGUGGAUUUAUUGGAAAAAAGAGGAAUUUUAUGGUAAGUUUCGGAAAAUGGUUUUCAAACCCACCACAGGAGUAAACCCCCCAGUUGCCUUCAGAAUAGUCUAGUCAUUUAUGACAAUGCCCCACGAGACUCGAGGACACCUGAAUAGUGUAGUUUGAGGAUUUGCGUUCUCAGGUUGAUUAUAUCUUCUUGAGUCUUGCGAGGAGAUUUGACAGAUAUGCGUUUCGGGCUAAUCACUCGAUUCUGCGAGGAUAUGCAUUCUCGGGUUGACUAUGUGUCCCCCGAGUUUUGCGAGGAUAUACUUUCUCGGGCUGACCAUGUGUUCCCUGAGUUCUGCGAGGAUGUAACAUAUAUGGUAUUUGGAAUUGACGGAUUAUGAUUGGGGGUACGCCUAGGUGGAAAGUAUUUGAGUUUUGGGAUGUUUUAAACAAAAAUUGAUAAUUUUAUCUUGGUACUUAUUGGUGAAAGUUUUAAUACAUGUUUUCAAAUUUAUGAGACAAAGAUUGAGAGUUUCUAAGAUUUAAGGAUUUAAUACAAUUCACAACUAUUUUUCUAAAUGAUGAGUUUGUUUUUACAUUUGAAAGAUUGAAACAUGUUUUAUUCAAACCGUUGAUAUUGAUAUUAAGGUUUCACGUGGCCAAUGUUAUUUUAAUAUUUUUCUCGUUUUUCCACUUAUCGGUAAUGAGCUAUUAUAUAUAUGUAUUUUUAUCUGCACAUAUGUGAUGGGUGGAAGGUUGUUCUAAAAUCAAUAUCUUUUGCUUAAGUUUUAGUGGAUUGAUUAGAGUUUUGAGCUUUUGGUUUUAGGAAAGGGUAAAGGAAUAUUUAAUUCGUGUGCUCACUUAUGGGUUGAACCUUAUUUUCUUGUAUAAAGAACUACGUGUGGCUUGAUUCCUCAGUAAGGGUAUGUAGGCAACCUAGACUAACCUAGGUGCAGCCGCAAGUUUAUUGAUUGGUUUGCUUUGGUCGGCUUUGUUAAGUUGAAUUUGAUGAACACUUGAGAAAUUAUUUGAGUUUACUGUGCAUGUAGAUUUCUGGGUUUGAGCAUUUUUCAAGGGAGAGUCUACUGGUUUUCCGGUAGAAGUCAAACCCUAAAGCAAUUUUUGGACUAGGGCAAGGAGGGGUAUGUUGGACAAUUGUGCUGGAUACCUGCUAAGUGUUGGACACGCACAGGGUUCGACACAGAUUCCAAAGUGGAAUUUGGGUCGGUUCCUGUCAAAAUAGCCACCAUAAACCAUCAACACUCAAGACAACCCCAAGGCAAAAUUACAUUUGUUUCCCAAUUCAGUAUAUCUUUUUUGGUCAUUUUAUACUAGGGUAAAUUAAGAAUUCAAUAAAUACUUUGGUAGUAUGGUAUACUAAGUUAAUGUUAGGUUCCUUUAGCAGCACUCUAAAUAUAACAUUAGCGACACCAACUUGUAUAUCAACUUUUUGUACCAACUAGUGUGGCAUAUCAUGUGGUAUGUGAAAAUUAGUAUACAAGUUGAUGCCUGUAGUAUUAUUGUAAAUUUAAUAUGUCGAAUUUGACUAAUACAUGGUUGACCUAAAACCACAUCUAAUUUUCUCGGCUUGCAUCGAGAGUAUUAGUCAUUUGAAACUGUUGCUUAUAUAGGAAGCGCUUAUGUUUGUAAGCAUUUUUUUUUUAUUAAAAGUGUAUUCUUAAAAAAAAAAAAAAAUUAAGUCUCACCUUCUAAAAAUAACAACUGAAAAAAUUUGAAUGUAAUUUAUAAAAAUGCGCUUUAUAAAGCGCUUUUAUGACUCACAAACACUUUUAGUUAUAUUCCAAUUUCUCCUUUUGGAGGCCUCCAGGUCCAGGUUUGUCAACUGGUAGGGGCACAUAAAUUGCCUACGCCAACUCCACUUUUGGAUGACCCAUGUUAUAUGCAUAGAGAAACAAAAUUCAGACACUUUAUGUGAACAUUGUAAGGCCUUUUUUAAGGACAAAAGUGGGUUGUUGGAACGAGAUAGCCAUGAUUGCCAGUGCCACCCACUGAAUAUUUAUCAUCAGAACAUGGAAUUCCAAAAAUAAGUCUGAAAGGUAUGAUUUAUGCUAAGAUUCUAGAGCACUGAGUUUCCCCUUAAUACACGAUUCAUAAAGAUAGGUUUUUCUAAAAAAAUAAUAAAAUAUUCUUCUUUUAGUGGAAUGGAGAUGAACUUCUAAUAUUAAAAAAGGAAAAUAUAACUAGAUUAAAAGAAUUACUUAUUAUAUGAAUAGGGGAAGUAAUGAACCGGGAAAUUUAGGAAUGUGAAUUGGAUCUACUCUCUCUAGUUGAUUGGGUUAUAAUUUUGAGGGUAUUGAAAUUACAGAUAUUAACAUGUAAAUUUUUUAUUCUUUAUGUACGUUAAACGCAUGAGAAGUCAUGAAUUGAAAUAAUUUCAAUAUCCCUGUCUUAGAGUCUUUAGAGUAGGAAUAGAGAAUAAUUCCAAUCUAUUCCUUUUUUUUUUCUUUUUUAUUUUUUGAAAAUAGGCGAUGAUAUAUUAUUGAUGAGCAAACAAAAGAACAAAGCAAGUGAGAAACAUGACCACCGCUCCACAUCUUCCGGGCAACCUUAAGAAAAUCAUAGCACCAUAUCGGCUAAACCCAUAGUCCCGCAUUGGCUAAACCCGAACUCAAUGCAACCAGACAUCUUCCCCUCUUUAGAGAUCCAAACUAUGUCGAAGGGAGCCAACUCCUUGUUUAUGUGGGCCAAAAUACGGUGACUAUAUCAUGGUGACUCUUCCACAUCACAAAAUAAACUAACAAUUUUGAAGAAAAAAGGGAUAAAAUGAGAAUGAAGGAGGUAGGGAAGGAGGGUGCCAACCUAAAAAAGGGGUGGCGGCUAAGACUUUUUUAAUUCCAAACAUGCUACAUUUGAUCUUAAUAAGUCUAUUGGCCGGUUAGUCUUAUGGAAGCUAAGAUAACCAGUAUAAUUCAUUAUAUUUAGGAAAAUGCUAGGCUUACCACAUUUUUCAUACCACAUUGUGUACCACCUCCCUAAUAGAGGUGGACCUCCCUAAUAGAGGUGGGCUCCACCUCUAUUAGAAAGGUGGUACACAAUGUGGUAUAAAAAUGUGGUAAGCCUAGCAUUGCCCUUAUAUUUAAUGUACAAAUAGGUACCCUCCAUUUCUUCCCUCAAAUGAGUACACAGCUGAUGUGGCACUAGUGGCUCUGCCACGAGAGAGUAAUUAUAAUUAAUGAUAUUUAAAUUUAAGUUUAUAGAUAAGAUGCAUCCACUUGACCUUCUGGUGGUUAGAAUUACAAGAAUGUGGCCUGCGCACCAGAAUUCCCUUAUAUAUCUGUGUUUCUUAACCAUCUUCGGACAAACAAGAUAAUACCAGUUUAAUUACUGGUUCUUAAAUUAAUACCAAAACCAGUCAGCUCUCUCUGUUUGAGGCACAAACAUAUUAGUGAUGAUGCCUUGCUCAACAGGCCACCGCAUAUUCUCCUCCUCCUAUAAAUAGACUCAUAAUUUUGGAGCCUCUAAAACCACCAAACCAAUCCAAUCCAACCCACAAUCAAUUUUUUAAGUUAUUGGUUUCUCGUUUUCCAACCAUGUCUUCCAUUGGAGCAACUUAUGCAACAGUUUAUGUGAUGCAGAAGCGACAGAAGGAGGAAAUGAAGAAGAAGCUAGAGCACAUGGGAGGGAGAUCAGGACAGAGCAGUACUGUACAAGACACCAAAGUCUCUGCACAUGGGAGGAACAAGAAGGUUUAUCCGGGGACUUUUCAGUCCCCGAACAAUAGUCCGGUGGAGGCCGGACAUAAUUAAUGUGGCUAAUUCUGUGGGUUGUGAGUUUCUCAACUUGUAAGUGAUCAAGGUGCUGGGUUAAUUUACACUACUGUUGCUGGUUAUUUCUGUGUACUAUUGUAAUUGUAAUUAAUUCUCUAAACAUUUAGGUUUUAUAAGCUUCCAAGUUUUAGGUUAUGCUUGUUCUCAAUUUGUAUAUCUAUUACAAGUAAAAGUGGAAGAAGCUUUGCUCUGUGAGUUUCUGAAGUUGUUGCGACGUGAAGUUCCAUCGCAAUGCCGUCGCAUAUGGGUUUUACCGACGAUGUUGGUGCCUUAUACGACACUUUCUAUCCGCCGUAAAUGACCCAUUUUGUAGUACUGCAAAGAGCAUCUUCCUUCAUGCAAAAUGUUAAAUUUGAAUUUAAUAACUUACAUGGGAAUUUGAAAUUUAGUAAAACUUUGAACUUCAACCGAAAUCCCAAAUUUCAUAUUAUUUUAUUAUAUUUUUUAAUACGAUCAAUAACCUAUAAAAGAGAAUAAAUAUAAUAGUGGUGCUCAUGACUGAAAAAAUAUUAAAAUAAUAUUUGGCAUCAGAAUUGAUGAGAUGUUAUUUUUCACAUAUUUCUUCUAGCCUUCAAAUUCAUAUAAAAUUUGACUAUUCGGUUAAAGUUACUAAAUAAUUUUUUCCUUCAACUUUUGCAAUUUCAUAUCUUGGUGGCAAUUUAACAUCUCCAAAUUCCUUUUGGAUAUGCUCUAGGCAGGUGUAUGACAUUCUUUUUCUAUUUUGUCCCUUGUUAUGAGUUCACUUUUGUAGUCUGUCACGACAAUAUCUAUCAAGUAAUGGCUUGUUGGAAAAAAAGAUAUACAGCCAUGAUUACCAUCCCACUGAAUACCAUCAGAACGUGGAAUUACAAAAAAAAGUCUAGAGGUAUAUGAUUGCUAUUAAGGCUCUAACCACUUUCUCUAGAAGAAUGCUGGCUGUAUAAUUAGGGAUAACAUGAGGUUUUUUUGUGGUGCGUGGUCAUUCCUCUUAGUGUAAAAGAGAAAGUUCAUUAAAGAAGAGUUUGUGCUCUUGAGUCAUCCUCUAAAGAUUUCGAGAGAGAUUAGUACUUGUAAUCUCAUUUUCAUUAGUCGAAGUAUUUUCGGAAUUUGUCCCAUGGUUUUUCGCUUCAUAUUGGAGGGAUUUUCGCGUUAAAUUUAGUGUCUAUUUCCUUUCUAUGUAUAAAUUUUUUAAUACAAGUGAUGGUUUAAACUAGAAAUGAGAGAGGGUUUCUCACACACACUAUCAAGGUGCUAUGGGAGUUCGAACUUGAGACUACUAGUUUGCAAAUUAAGGCCAUUUUUCACUAGGCUAGACCCCGUUAGCUCCCCUCUAUAUUUCUCAUACUAUUUGUGUUCAAUUCGUAUUUGAAUUCCUACGAUUUAUAAUUUUUUUUAAUAUAAGCGAUAGUCUAACCUAUAAGGAGAGGGGCACACACUACAAGGUCCUUUUUCACUGGUCUCUAAACCUCGUUGACCUAUGAUUUACACUUAAGCAUCUGCUUUUGGUUCAACAUUAGUAAUAGUGUAAUUGAGAACGUAAUUCCAUAUUAAGUCGAUUGGCCCGUUAGUAUUAUGUAUGAUCUCAUGACUUUCAGGCUGCUACGAUAACCCUUCAUUAGAUUUAAUGUCCAACUGUAGGCAGCCUCCAUUUCUUCCCCAACAUGAGCACACAGCUGAUAUGGCAUGUUUGUGUCAGCACUAGUGGCUUUGCCAACUUGUCAUCCUAUAUAAUUUAUAAUUAAUUAACCGACAUUUAAAUUUAAUUAGAGGUAUAACAUGCAUCCACUUAAUGUAAGAGAGAGAAAGUUCAUUAAAGAAGAGUUUGUGCUCUUGAGUCAUCCUCUAAAGAUUUAGAGAGAGAUUAGUACUUGUAAUCUCAUUUUCAUUAGUGGAAGUGCUUUCGGAAAUUGUCCCAUGUUUUUUCACUUCAUAUUGGAGAGAUUUUCAUGUUAAAUCUGGUGUCUAUUUCCUUUCUAUGUAUAUAUUUUUUUUAAUAUAAGCGAUAGUUUAAAUUACAAGGAGGAUGUGGUUUUUCACACACACUAUCAAUGUGCUAUGUAUUGAAGAAUACACACAGUCCCACAUAGGAAAAUUAACAAAAUAGAAAGUCUCAUAUAAUAAAUGGGUCCACUCUAAUAAAAUCGAGACCUUUUGUAUAAAAUCUCAUACCUGCUAAACAGUUGGUUAAAUUGGGGACAAUAUCGAUGUUGCUAGUGGUGGGCCAAAGGUCCAUCCCUUUGAAAUCUUAACAUGGUAUCAGAGGGGGUCGGUUGAUUGGGCCCAAUUAAACCUAAAUCAAACAAAUCCCAAAUUGAAAAUAAAUAUAUUUAUAAAUAAUAAAAUUUUAAAAUUUUAAAAUAAUAAAAAAUAAAAAUAAAAGGUGACCGAUGUGGAAUUUGUUAUACGUGUGGCCCAAUAAAAAGUGGUCUCACGUGAGAAAAAGUAUUGAAGAAUACACACAAUCCCACAUCGAAAACUUAACAAAAUAGAAAGUCUCAUAUAAUGAAUGGGUUCAUUUCUAAUAAAAUCGAGGCCUUUUAUAUAAAACCUCACACCUACUAAACAUGUGGUUAAGUUGAGGACAAUAUCGACAUUGCUAGUGGUGGGUCAAGGGUCCGUCCCUCUGAAAUCUUAACACUAUGGGGAUUCGAACCUGAGAUAAUUGGUCUGCAAGUUAAAGCCUUUUUUCACUAGAUUAGACCCCAUUGACUCUCAUGUAUAAUACAAGUGAUAAUCUAAACUAUAAGGGGAGGGACACACACUACAAAAGUAUCAUGGGGAUUCAAAUCUGAAACCACUGAUCUAUAAGUUCAGACCAUUUUUCAUUGGGUUAGACCCCGUUGGCCUAUGAUUGACACUUAAGCAUCUACUUUUGGCUCAACAUGAGUAAGUCGAUUAUCCCGUUAAAUCUUAUGCAUGAUCUCAUGGCUUUCAAUUGACAGCUAUGACCCUUCAUUAGAUUUAAUGUCCAACUACGCACCCUCCAUUUCUUCCCCCAACAUGAGCACACAGCUGAUGUGGCAUCUUUGUGGCAUUCUUAUGGCAUCCUAAUUAUAAUUUAUAAUUAAUUAAUCGAAAUUUAAAUUUAAUUAUAGGUAUAACAUGCAUCCACUUAAGCUUCUUGUGGUUAGAAAGAAUGUGGUCUGCGCACCACUAUUCCUUUUAUUUCUGUUCUUAAUUAAACAUCUUGGAACAAACAAGAUAAUACCAGUUUAAUCACUGGUUCUUAAGAUAAUACCAUAAACAGUCAGCUCUGAAAUGCAAAUGCUAGUGAUGGCUUGCUAAAAGAACCACAUAUUCCCCUAUAAAUACUCCUCUAAUUUGGAAAUCUCAUACCACCACAACAAUUCACUUUUUUUUAGUUGGGUUUUUGUUUUCUAGCCAUGUCUUCCAUUGGGGCUAGCUAUGCUGGGGUUUAUGUGAUGCAGAAGCGACAGAAGGAGAAAAUGGAGAAGAAGGAAGACGAAACUAGAGGGAAAGGAGAGAGCAGUAUAGCAAAGGAGAGCAAAGUCUCUGCACCUGGGAGGACCAAAAAGGUCCAUGCAGAGAAUUUUCAGGCCUCGGACACUACCCGUCCCUAGAGGAAGGCCAUAGUUAGUGUGCAUGGCUUAAUGUGUGGAAUGGUAGUUUCUAAAGUUUUUACAAAUGCUUAUGCUUGGUUGAUUUUUCAAGUGAUUUAUUCUUGUUUAACUUGUGUUUUGUAUAAGUUUCCAAGUUUUAGGUUGUGCUUCCAUUUUCACCUUGUAUAUAUAUCUACAAGUUGCUAUAUGUUGUGUGAUCUUUCUAAGCUAUCUCAAUACCAAAAAAAUUUAGUGCUGCCUCUCCGUAGUUUCCCCAAUGAAAAUACUUUAGAUGCAAUAUUUGCGUUUCUUUGUGUGAUUAACGAAUUUUCACUUUACAUAUAUAUUAUAAUUAGAACUGUUCAUUUACGAAAUCACCAUUUAAAGAUCACCUUUAUUAUAAAUAAAUUAAAAAUUAAAAAUAAGAAAAAGCAAUCAAAUUGGAGUUGUAUGGUCAUCCAAAUGUAUGGAGGAAAUGUAUUGUUCACUACGAACUAACACAAUUGAGUUGCACUACUUAAGUUCCAAAUCAUUACCAACCUCUGACUUAAAACAAAAAGAAGGUUUUUUUUAAAAUACAAGGAGAGGGAGACACAUUACUUAAAAUACAAGGAGAGGGAGACACAUUACAAAAGUAUCAUGGGAUUCGAACCUAAGACCACUGAUCUAUAAGUCAAAGUCCUUUUUCACUGGUCUAAACCACGUUGACCUAUGAUUUACACUUAAACAUCUGCUUUUGGAUCAACAUUAGUAAUAGUGUAAUUGAGAACGUAAUUCUAUAUUAAGUCGAUUGGCCCGUUAGUCUUAUGUAUUAUCUCAUGGCUUUCAGGCAGCUACGAUAACCCUUCAUUAGAUUUAAUGUCCAACUAUAGGCAGCCUCCAUUUCUUCCCCAACAUGAGCACACAGCUGAUAUGGCCUAUGGCAGCACUAGUGGCUUUGCCAACUUGUCAUCCUAAUUAUAAUUUGUAAUUAAUUAACCGACAUUUAAAUUUAAUUGGAGGUAUAACAUGCAUCCACUUAAUGUAAGAGAGAGAAAGUUCAUUAAAGAAGAGUUUGUGCUCUUGAGUCAUCCUCUAAAGAUUUAGAGAGAGAUUAAUACUUGUAAUCUCAUUUUCAUUAGUGGAAGUAUUUUCAAAAUUUGUCCCAUGGUUUUUCGUUUCAUAUUGGAGGGAUUUUACAUUAAAUUUAGUGUCUAUUUCCUUUUUAUGUGUAUAUAUUUUUUUUAAUACAAGUGAUAGUUUAAACUAUAAGGAGGAGGGGGUUUCUCACAUAUACUACCAAUGUACUAUGUGUUGAAGAAUACACACAGUCCCACAUCGGAAACUUAACAAAAUAGAAAGUCACAUAUAAUGAAUGGGUCCACUCCUAAUAAAAUCGAGACCUUUUGUAUAAAACCUCACAUCUAUUAAACAUGUGGUUAAGUUGGGGACAAUAUCGAUGUUGAUGGUGGUGGGCCAACGGUCCAUUCCUCUGAAAUCUUAACAUGAUAUCAGAGCGGGUCAGUUGACUGGGCCCAAUUAAACCCAAAUCAAACAAACCCCAAAUUUAAAAUUUAAAAUUUAAAAUAUUUAAAUAUUUAUAAAUAUAAAAAAAAGGUGACUGAUGUGGAAUUAGUUGCACGUGUCGCUAUGGGCAGACCUAGCUCACGCCCAGUAUGAGCCAUGGCCCACACUCAACUUUUGUUACUCACCUAUAUAUAUAGUCAGUCAUGAUCUCUUGGACUACAGGGGUCCAAGAGAUUUGUGGUCACUUACCGUUGGAUGUAAAUUCAACGGUUCACUCACUCUUACACUUCUUUUAAGAAACUUUUUUGAACCAUUGGAUUAAUAUCCAACGGUGGGUGACCACAAUCUCUUGGACUCCUGUGGUCCAAGAGAUCGGGACUGUAUAUAUAGUAUAGUUAGGCCCGCAUAUUUAUUAAAAACAUAACAGUAAGCCCACACAAUUGUCCAAUUAUUAAAAACUAAUUAAAGAAACACCCUAGGAAGCUAUCACGUGAAGACUUGCCAACGCCUUGUCUCUGUCUGGAAUAGUCGCCAAUGCCAAAGAGAGGAAGACAUCGUUGUUCACAAGCGAAUCCAUCUUUGUUUAUUAUAACCAUAGUCUAAAAUAUUGAUAAUAUCGAGGAAAUAUCGAGGAAAUAUCGAGGAUAUUUCGAUUUUUUUGAAUCACAGAUAUUUCGAAACAUAUCCAUGUACAUAUCGUAUAAAUAUCGACAAUAUCGACGAUAAUAUCAGAAAAUAUCGAUGUCGAUAAUUUCGCUCACAUUUCAGCAAUAUUUUGUCAAAAUAUCGGUGUAAUAUUGCUAAAAUAUCGAAAAUAUCGAAAAUAUCGAUGUGAAGGAAAAAAAAAAGUUAUUAAAAAAAAAAGGAAAAAAGGGGAGAAAAAAGCACAAAGGGGAUAUGAACCCCUCCCAUUUUACUCCUCCAACACCUUAAACACCAUAUCACUUAUGUUUUUGUGAUAAUAUGCUAAAAUAUUUAUAUUUAUAUGGGUGGUAUGUUAACAAUUACAUGCAAAACUAUUUUGGGGAUUUAUCAUUUGAUGACUACUCUUCACAAUACACUUACUCUACACAUAGAGAUGAUGAAGAUAGUGAAAAAUUUGAACCUCGUAGGAACUCUAUGUGAUACUAAGUCAUUCAUGUAUCUUACCAUGCAAUGUAUAAAGUGUAAAAUAUUAUAGUAAAUCAUUAUAUAUGAAUGAUUACGGUGUAUUUAAUCUUUUUUCAUUAAUUAUUACAUAUUUUUUACACUCAUAGUGUUUGCCCGCUUGCUGUAUAAUCAACUUAAAUUAGUUAAAUCCAUCAUGCAAUGCAUGUCCUUCUAAUUUUUUGUGAUAAACUCAUAGAUAAUUGACUAAAUUGACAUUCUCCAAAGUUUCAAUAAAAAUUUCCAAGUUUUUCUUACAAUUUCCGUGGUUUUUAUUCAAUUUUUAUCGAUAUCGAUAAUAUCCCGAUAUUUCCAUCGAAAUUUCUAUAUGUUUAGACUACCGAUAUUUCUGAUAUCAUUGAUAUUUUAGACCUUGAUUAUAACUUAGCACUUCUUGUAGGUUAGUAAUUGAUUUCUCCUCCUUAGUUACACUUUCAUAUUUUAUUUAUCUUUAUUUUGUAGAAUAAAAUUAUUUUUUUUUGGUCAGCUAGUAUAAUUUUGUGAAAUUUGUGCUGUGAUUGUGAAGAUGAUUGUUAAACUGUUUAAUUGUUAGAACUUUUUUUUUUUUUUUGGGUCGAGACUGUUACAACAUUUGUUUGUAUUUUUUUGUUACACUGUCUCUAAAUAGGUGAUUUUUUGUAACAGUCAUGGAAAAAUAUUUUAAAAGAAAAUCAAGGAUGGAGCCAUCAACUCUUAUAGAGGUUGGUAGUUCAAAACAAAGUCGUAUGGAAGUCAAUGUGGCGGAUCUUCCUUCAGAUCAUGGAUUUCGAACUAGAAUUUUAGAUUACAAUCACAAUAUUCGAGAUCAAAUCCGAAAAGCAUACCUACAAAAAAGUCCUUGUCAACCUAAAAGUCAUAUGUUCCCUUUUAAGAAAUGUGGAAAUGGAAAACAACGGUUCAUCCCUUCUUGGUUUUAUGUUUUCCUAAGUGGUUGGAAUAUAGAGUAAAAAAAAUGAUGCGUUCUAUUUAUGUUGUUUUCUUUUUAAAUCAAAUAGUGGAGAACAAGGGAGUGGUGACGCAUUUGUUGGUGAAGGAUUUUCAAAUUGGAAGGAGAGAAAAAGAUUUGAAAUUCAUAUUGGAGGUCCCAAUAGUGCCCAUAACCAAGCUGUGAAGAAGUGUGAAGCUUUGAUGAAUGAAAAACAACAUAUUGAAAAUGUUUUUCACAAGAUUUCAGUUCAAUCUCAAAUUGAUUAUCAAAUUCGAUUGUGUGCGUCCAUUGGUUGCAUUCGAUUUCUCUAAGACAAGGUCUUGCAUUGCAUGGUCAUGAUGAGUUUGAGAAUUCAAGCAAGCAAGGAAACUUUCUUGAACUUUUACAAUUCCUUGCUAAUCACAAUGAACAGGUUCGAGCUGUAGCACUGAAAAAUGCUCCUAAUAACCUCAAGUUGAUGUCACCAAAGAUUCAAAAAGACAUUGUAAAUGCUGCUGUAGGUGAAACAACUAAUGCUAUUAUAAGUGAUAUUGGUGAUUCCUUGUUUUCUAUUCUUGUUGAUGAAUCUCGUGAUGUAUCCAUUAAGGAGCAAAUGGUUGUUAUGUUUCGUUAUGUUGACAACAAAGGGUAUGUGAUUGAACGUUUCAUGGGUAUUGAACAUGUGGCUAGUACAACAGCUUUCUCAUUGAAGACUUCAAUUGAUGCAUUAUUUGCUAGACAUCAUUUGAGCAUAUCUCAAUUACAUGGUCAAGGUUAUGAUGGGGCAAGUAAUAUGAAUGGAGAGUUCAAUGGUUUGAAAACACUUAUUAAGAAAGAUAGUCUAUGUGUUUUUUAUGUUCACUGCUUUGCUCAUCAACUUCAAUUGGCUCUGUGUCUUUGGCAAAAAAUCAUAGCCUAAUAGGUGUUUUUUUCACCUUAGUUUCCAAUGUGAUAAAUAUUGUUGGGGCAUCAUCAAAGCGUCGUGAACAAGCCCUCAAAGUUAUUGAAGCACUUAGCAAUGGUGAGCUCUCAACCGGUUAAGGCUUAAAUCAAGAACUUGGAGUUAGACGUCCAUGUGAUACUCGAUGGGGCUCACACUAUGGUACUUUGCUUAACUUUGUUUCCAUGUUUUCAUAUAUAAUUGAUGUAUUAGAGGAAAUUUCAAAUGAUAGAGUGGGCACUGCUCAGAAAAAUGAAGCAUUUAUUUUGUUAGGGUUGCUUCAAUCAUUUGAUUUUGUGUUCAGUUUGCAUUUGAUGGAGAUUAUACUUGGAAUUACAAAUGAGUUAUCGCAAGCUUUACAAAGGGAUGAUCAAGAUAUUGUGAAUGCCAUGGAUUUAGUUGAAAUAUGCCAGCAAAACUUGCAGAAUAUGAGAGAAAAUUGAUGAGAUUCUUUAUUAGAGAAAGUUUCCCUUUUUUUUGUGUGAGACAAAAUAUUGAAGUUCCUAACAUGGAUGAUAUGUUUGCAGUUCGAGGGCGAUCAUGACAUAGGGCACAACAAAUUAAAAAUAUGCAUUAUUAUUGUGUUGAUCUUUUCUAUGAUGUGAUAGAUUUGCAACUUCAAGAGCUAAGGAAUCGUUUCACAGAGGUUAACAUAGAGUUGCUGCUUUGCUUGGCAUGCUUAAGUACGAAUAAUUCAUUUUCUGCUUUCAAUACGCAAAAAUUGGUACGUCUUGCUGAACUCUAUCCAAGUGAUUUUUCUACUGAACAACUCAUGGCACUUGAAAUUCAACUUGAGAAUUAUAUUGACGAUAUACAUUCCAAUACCAAGUUUCAAGAAUUGAAUGGAAUUUCUGAUCUUGCGAAAAAAUUAGUUGAGAUAGGAAAGCACAAAGAAUAUCCAUUAGUCUAUUUUCUCAUAACGUUGGGAUUAGUACUUCCAGUUGCUACAGCUUCUGUAAAAAAGGUAUUCUCUGGUAUGAACUUUGUUAAGAACCGGUUGCGCAAUCGAAUGGGAGAUCAAUGGAUGAAUGAUAGCUUGGUUGUAUAUAUUGAGAAAGACAUCUUCAAUGACAUUGAUAAUGAGCUCAUUGUCAAGCGUUUUCAAUUGUAAUUGUAUUGAUUGUACUUGCUAUGAAUUUUUUUAGUCUUGAAUUUUUGCAGUUGGGUCUUGUAUUUUAUCUUUGUUACGCCCACACAUGGAAAAAAUCCUAGGCCUGCCACUGCAUGUGACCUACUAAAAAGUGGUCCCACAUGAGUAGGAGUGUUGAAGAAUACACAUAGUCUCAUAUCGAAAACUUAACAAAAUAGAAAGUCCCAUAUAAUGAAUGGGUCCACUCCUAAUAAAAUCAAGGCCUUUUGUAUAAAACCUCACAUCUGCUAAACAUGUGGUUAAGUAGGGACAAUAUCGAUGUUGCUAGUGGUGGGUCAAAGAUCCGUCCCUUUGAAAUUUUAACACUGUGGCGGUUCGAACCUGAGACUAUUGGUCUGCAAGUUAAGGCCAUUUUUCACUAGGCUAGACUCAAUUGGCUCUUCUCUUUAUUUCUCAUACUAUUUGUGUUUGAUUCGUAUUUGAAUUCCUACGAUUUAUAAUAUUUUUUAAUACAAGUGAUAGUCUAAAUUAUAAGGGGAGGGACACAUAAUACAAAAGUAUUAUUGGAAUUCGAACCUGAGACCACUGAUCUAUAAAUUAAGGCCUUUUUCAUUAGGCUAGACUCCAUUGAUCUAUGAUUGACACUUAUGCAUCUACUUUUGGCUCAACAUGAGUAAGUCGAUUGUCCCGUUAGUCUUAUAUAUGAUCUUAGUCUUAUAUAUGAUCUCAUGGCUUUCAAUUGACAGCUAAGAUAACCCUUCAUUAGAUUUAAUGUCCAACUACGCACCCUCCAUUUCUUCCCCCAACAUGAGCACACAGCUGAUGUGGCAUCUUUGUGGCAUUCUUAUGGCAUCCUAAUUAUAAUUUAUAAUUAAUUAAUCGAAAUUUAAAUUUAAUUAUAGGUAUAACAUGCAUCCACUUAAGCUUCUUGUGGUUAGAAAGAAUGUGGUCUGCGCACCACUAUUCCUUUUAUUUCUGUUCUUAAUUAAACAUCUUGGAACAAACAAGAUAAUACCAGUUUAAUCACUGGUUCUUAAGAUAAUACCAUAAACAGUCAGCUCUGAAAUGCAAAUGCUAGUGAUGGCUUGCUAAAAGAACCACAUAUUCCCCUAUAAAUACUCCUCUAAUUUUGAAAUCUCAUACCACCACAACAAUUCACUUUUUUUUAGUUGGGUUUUUGUUUUCUAGCCAUGUCUUCCAUUGGGGCUAGCUAUGCUGGGGUUUAUGUGAUGCAGAAGCGACAGAAGGAGAAAAUGGAGAAGAAGGAAGACGAAACUAGAGGGAAAGGAGAGAGCAGUAUAGCAAAGGAGAGCAAAGUCUCUGCACCUGGGAGGACCAAAAAGGUCCAUGCAGAGAAUUUUCAGGCCUCGGACACUACCCGUCCCUAGAGGAAGGCCAUAGUUAGUGUGCAUGGCUUAAUGUGUGGAAUGGUAGUUUCUAAAGUUUUUACAAAUGCUUAUGCUUGGUUGAUUUUUCAAGUGAUUUAUUCUUGUUUAACUUGUGUUUUGUAUAAGUUUCCAAGUUUUAGGUUGUGCUUCCAUUUUCACCUUGUAUAUAUAUCUACAAGUUGCCAUAUGUUGUGUGAUCUUUCUAAGCUAUCUCAAUACCAAAAAAAUUUAGUACUGCCUCUCCGUAGUUUCCCCAAUGAAAAUACUUUAGAUGCAAUAUUUGCGUUUCUUUGUGUGAUUAACGAAUUUUCACUUUACAUAUAUAUUAUAAUUAGAACUGUUCAUUUACGAAAUCACCAUUUAAAGAUCACCUUUAUUAUAAAUAAAUUAAAAAUUAAAAAUAAGAAAAAGCAAUCAAAUUGGAGUUGUAUGGUCAUCCAAAUGUAUGGAGGAAAUGUAUUGUUCACUACGAACUAACACAAUUGAGUUGCACUACUUAAAUUCCAAAUCAUUACAAACCUGUGACUUAAAACUAAAAGAAUGCUUCUUUUUUUGUCAUUUUUUUGUUUUCUCUUUAAUACCAUGUGAAAUAUGUAAUGUCUAGCUUCCUUAAGCUUUCUAGAUAAGCAAUCUAGCAAAUGUUAGGCCAAUGACUUUAAAACCUCGCAUGCUUGAAGACAUUAUGUGUAAAGACACCCUUAGAGCGCUUCCCCCUCCGGAGCCCAGCCAAGGCAAAAGGUCCCUUAGGCCUCCAAUAAUGGUUCCAACGCUCAAUUUUUGCUCGGGAAAGAUAUGGAGUCCACCAACCCAAGCAAGAUGGGCUCCCGCUCGCGAAUGAUGACAUCAGCGAAGAAAUUUUUUUUAAAUAUAAUUACCAAAUAUUUUAGAAUAUUUUUUUAUAGGUAAAUUUUUUUAUUAUUAAACUCAUACAUAUAAAUAAAAAAUUAAUUUCAUAUGAAUAGUAAUUGUCCUCGAGUUGCCACGACAAUAGAUGAAAAAGCAACGAAAAUAUUACUAGGAUAGAUAAUAUUCACAUAAACAGUAAAUGCUUAAACUAGCUAGUCCCCUAAAUAUAACUAGUCUCGACUAUGCUAGAAUUGACCUUCACGAGGGGCAUAAACAAACUUAAUGGACCGCAACUGUUUUUUAGCAAUAUGAAUGUCAUACAACCCUCCCUCAAGAUUUGCUGACCCUCACAAUUCAAUAGUGUCCCGCUUUGAAAUGAAUGCGAGGAUUAAUACUUUUUAUACAAAAAAUGGGGAAUUCGAGGCGAGGAUGGGUAUAGCCCCCCUAUGGGCACGAAGACGGGGACGAGGAUUCUCCGAAACCUCUUAGGCGGGGAUGGUACUGCCCAAACAACUUUGAAUAAAAGAAAGCUUUGUUAAUGUAAAGGUAGGCUGGAUUUGCAUUCGACCAAAAUUCUAAAAUAUAAUUACUGCAAGCACCGACCACGCAGGGACAUGUUUCACUAAUUAUGAUAUAAUCUGUCUGAUAUUUUUGUACUUACAAAAGGUAUGCGGCUAGUAAGCUGCACGUCUAACUUGUACAUGGAGCAUCUUCAAACUCUCAUCAUCACUGAAAUAAGCUCCUCCCCUCUGAUAUGCUAAGUGGAACAAAAUAGAAAAAAGAGAAUCCCUGCCAUGCCACGAUCCCCAUAGAUGAGCUACAUUUACUAGUUACUAUAUCGGUUAACAGCCAAUUUCCUACAGCACCACCAUUGGGGGCAAGUUAACCAAAUCGGUCCCCAUCUGUCUCGAUUGCCACGAAAGCAAAAAUCCUCAUGAGUUCCAUUGCCAAGGCUGAACACGCCCCAAUCCUUUCUUCCAGCAUUAUUCAGAUUAAGCCUAGCUGAAAUUCCAUAAAGAUGAUCAGAAUCCCAUUCGUUCCACCAUGGAGCAGCAUGAUCAUUAGAGAAAUAGAUACAAUUCCUCAUCGCAACACCGAGUUCCGUCGAAGAAACAGACCGCGAACAACAUUUGCCUAGAAAUAAGAUUUUAUCCCCCAAAUCAUGUACCCUCUUCCAGGACAUCAGGCUAAAAUCCAAUGAAUAUACUUUGAAAUCAUGUGUUUCAAGAACAGCCUCUGCUUUGGUGUUAUAAAGCCUACAAACAAGAAGAAGCUCCCCACAAGAUUCCACAAGAUACUUCAACACACCACUAUUUUCCUGCUCCUCUGACAUUAUUACUUCAUGACAAUCUAUUUUUACCUCAUAAGCAUCAUAUGUUCUAAUGCUAGCAAAGAUAUUAGCAGACUUAAUCUGCCAAAUGUUAUAAUCAUUGCUUAUAAGAUAGAAACUUCCAUCACAGAAGACAGCAUCCUCAAAUGGAUCACCAUCCAGUUUAUGUUUAAACCAUAAUUCAGCUCCUGGGACCCAAAAAGAAAGCUCCCGACAUUGACUAUGAACAAGCAUGCAAACAUAGUUGUCAAGGAUGGGAAGCCCUGAGAGAACAAUCUUAUGAUAAAAGUUCCAUGUUUUGGGAAGAUCAGUUUUGUUCCUAGAGAAUGGAUUCAACAAGCUAAUCUCAAGAUAGAAACAACCAAUAUGUUUUACUAGAAUCAACCAAUCUUGAUAUGAUCCCCAACAAUAUCUUCCAUAAGCCUCGGGAAGCACAAUGUCCCAAUGUUGUUUUUGUAGUAUGCUAAUACAAGUUCUUACCUCUCUAUCUUUGCCAGACAUCAUGAGCCAUGGCACACCACGGCUUUGCCAACCAGCAAGUUCUUGUGCAACAACAUGUCUCCAGGCUUUGCAAACAUCACUAACAGAUAUACAAUCAGUCACAGUCAGUCGCUCAAAGAUGAUCUCAAGGAUACCACGAGGCAGCUCUGUCCAAUCCAGAUUAACAAGCUUCUGCUGCUUCCUUCUUCUAUUUCUGCUUCGACCCAUCGUGCAGCUCUAUGACUCUACUCGCCUACAAAAACAAAUAUAAUAAAUGAAAUCCUUAAACUAUCUUUGGGAGAAAAAGAGAGGGGGGAAAGAAAUCAUAAUAACACCAACAAACUCUUAAUGACAGAUUGUAAAUAAAAUUGUAAAUGCAACAUCAAGAAGUAAGUAGUGUGUGAAAACAGAGUUUUUAGUGCAAUAGUAUAAGCUUCAAUCUAGGUGUGAUGUAAGGUUCUCUGUUAACUAAUCCAUCGAAUCUGCAUGUCUUUGGGUUUUACUACACUAGCAACCUCAAAAAGUUUACAUCAAUUAAGAGGUGAGCAUGACCCCCAAUCAGUGCAAGAAAGGAUAAUUAUCUGCACGCCAUUUGUUGUUGUUCUCAGCAGACUAGCAACUGUAGGAACUUACUGAGCUUCCUGGCUUGAUCAGAGGUAGUGAGUACAAUAAAAGGGUUUGGCUCAAACUUGAAAGAAUCUUUGGCUCUUUGAAAAUAGCUAAAGUAUCCUUGUAGCAUUUACACAGUAAAAGUUGAAAUUAAACCCAAAACUGAAAUUCACUGCACAAUAUAUUCUGGACAACUUGCUAGAUAACUCUUAACUGCUAGAUAAAAAAAGCAGUACUUGUUCCUACGAGUCUAGAACCAGACCUUGUAAGAAACUCAAAGAAAAUAAAAGCAGACACAAAAUAAAACCAGAAUUACUUUCAAGAAAGAAAGUUUCGAACUUUCUUCCAUUGAACCAUGCAAAAUUGAAAAUAGCAACCUUUUCAAUGAGUUUUGGAAGAUUUUAAAGCCAUCAGUGCAUUUCACUUGACACCCAUUUAUCCAAUGCGUGCAUGCAACAAUCAAAAGCUACCGUAGACCCCCUUAACCCAUUUAUCCAGUAAGAUUUUGUUAAAAAUAGCACCCAUCAUUGUGAAUUCAUUUGGGCACCAAAUGCUUACACAAGCAUAUAAUGUCGUCAUUCAAAAUGUAGAUAGCUUCAAAAGCUAAAUACAAAGGGAAGAAACACUACAAAGGGAUCAACGGUUGAGUUCAGUGAAUAUAUUUACUUCUAGUGAUUGUAAAAAAUAAAAAAAAAAGCAUGAGACUCAGAAUCAGUAAGUGCAAAUAAAAGUAAAUAAAGCAUAAUCCACUUACCAAAUGAUGUCCAGACGUUGGAGACUAAUAGCUAGAAGAACAAAGAGGAAAGUUGCAUGUCUAGGUUUUACAGGAGUGAAACUACAGUCGUUGCCGGAAUGGAACGCCAGCAAACAACAUAGCUGCUUCAGAAGAAAGAAGUCUCUCGAAGGAAAAGGAAUCGCUGCUUACGAAAAUGGUAUGUGUCAUAUUUUGAUUCCUCGUUUCUGCCCAAAGAAAAAGAUAACGGGCUUGGCCCAAUCUGUAUCUAUGAGACGGGUCACGUAGUGGGCCAUCUUAGCCCAGUUCACUAUGCAAAUUUAUUUUUUCACUUCUGAGAUCAUUUCCCAAGUUUUUUCUUUCUUAGAAAAAGAUACUCUAAUGUACAGAGAGGAGAUCAAACUCAAAUACAAAGGAACAGACGCACUGUUUUAGCCAACUUCGAACCCACAUCCGCUCUAAUUUACUAGGAUUGAAAAUAAAAUUUAAUUGAUAAGUUCAAAAAGGAAGUAAUAUCCCCAACUAGUUGGUGUUAUUUUUCAGUAGAAUUCCUACUGGGAUGUGUUUUUGUUUUUCAGCCAUGUCUUUGGCAGUACCGACCCUGGACAAGAGUUGGAAGUAUGAUCGCCCAAGGCCCAUUGUCCAAAGGGGCCCAGUUUUCUGUUUUCCUUUUAAUAUAUGUAUUAUAUAUUACUACAGACAACAAAAAAAAAAAGAACAGAACAGGAGUCCACGUCCAUGUGGGUCUCUGUCUCCAUAUGCAAACGAAAAAUUAUAAAAUAGUACGGUUAUCAUCACGUCAGCUGGUGAUAUUUUCACUCAAAAUAUGUCAUGUGUCAUACUUUUAAACAAGUCACACUUUAUUUUACAGCUGGAAUUGAAACUUAAUUUUUACCAUUUAAAAUAAAAUUAAGGAAAUCAAAAAAAAUCAAAAAAGACAAGAGACGAGCAAUUGCCCACACCAACCCAAUCGCCUACUCCCAGGGCACCUACCUUGCUCGCCUCUCUCUAUCUCUCAUACAAGUCUCCAAUCUCUCUCGGAGUAAGCUCCUUUCUGUCAAUAAAGAAGUGAGGAAUCUCUUAGAAUCUCCUUUAGAUUCUUCGCUAGAGCAGAAAUUUCAUAGUCGGUCGGAGGGCUUGCUCCGCUUCCUCGUCCUCCAUAAACAGAAUAACUCCCCCGGAAACAAGUUUUCGUUUUGAUCUGCACCGUGAGUUGCUUCGAUCUCUCUCCCUUCAACUGUUAAAUCAUCGCCAGAUUUGCUUCUCAGCCAUUUGCUUCUCAACCUUUUAGUGGCUACCCCAAGAUCUAUCUAUAUUUUCUCAUUGAUGAAGGUCUCAGGGAUUUGUUGACUUCUAAAUUACAGAUUGCCAUUAGAUGUGAAGAAGGUUGUAAUGGGAGGUGGGUGUAUCACAAACAGGCUAAAAAUUAACCAGUAGGAAAUUGAUACUGAAAAGGUUGAUUGUGUUGGGUUGUCAACACCAAUACGCAUAGUAAGGGUAAAAUCCUUAGACCUAAUUCUUCAAGUUAAAUUUUUUUUCAUUGAUUUGUCACUAAAAGAGAAAUUUUUAAAAAAAAUGAAAUUCACCCUUUUGCGAACAAUACCGCUCUAACUCCAUCGUUCUUGUGUUUACAACUAAUAUGCAUGAUAAAGUUAAUUCUUUAUGUUUUACAUUUUGUAUUUGGGAAACUUAUUCGGUUGAUGCUAAUUAAUUUUAAUGAACUCAAAUUGUAAAGGUCAUAUUUUCAUUUUGACAAUAUAUGUUAUUUGGUUGCAUUUAAUAUGUUAAAGCUUAUAGAAAUUAGUCAAUGGAGCUAUAUGAACUAGUGUGGUUUAUAUGAUUUAAUAUUACUUUUAGAGUUUUUCUAUUUAAACCCGCAUUUCUCUUUGUUCACCUCAAUACUUAAAUCAUUAAGCUGUUAAGUUUUAUUAUUGUGUAAAAAGACAAAAAAAAUCAUCUAACUUAAUAAUUAACCCUAUUACAUCUAUAUACACCCCACAGACACCCCACCAAUUUUCAUAUUAAGUUUUCGAAAAAUACAAAUUCCUCUAGAUCCUAUUGCCAAAUUAUUCUUCUCUUUUAAAGAUGUAGAAUGUUGAGGAGCCUACCUCUUUACAAGUUAUGUCGGAGCUGAUGGAAAAGCUUGUUGAUUUCUUGGCUGUAAUGAUCUUAUUCUCUUUCCUUUGUUUCAUAUAUCCAACUUUUCAAUUGUUGCUUUAUGACAGUCACAACUCAUGACGCAUGAGUACUAUGCUUGUGUUUCCUUGCAAGAUUAUGAUAGUCUACUUUCGAGUACACAACCAACUAUCCACUUAGGGCUCGUUUGGUACACCGUAUUAGACUCUGGAUAUGAGUAAAUAGUCUAUGUCAGGUGUUUGGUGUCAACUUGUAUUAUUUAAUUACCCAACUAUUUUAUACGGGUUGGGCUUUUAAUACUCUCCUUACCUGACUAACUAAUACAAUCCACAAAGUCCGGUUUAGAUAAUACACGCUUAAUUAUACGGCUAAGCACACGUUUUACGAAAAAAAAUCAAACGCUCUUUUCUUCUUUUUCUCCCUAGGGUUUUUCUCUGCUAUCUUCUCCAAAGGUUAUUUUCUUCACUCUUCUCCAGGUAUCCAUCUCUCUCUCUCUCUCUCUCUCUCUCUCUCUCUCUCUCUCUCUCUCUCUCUCUCUCUCUCUCUCUCUUUCAUACUCUCUCCAAUAUGCUUCUUCUUGCUUCUUCUCUAUUCUUUAUAUAUUUCAAUUUUUUUAUUAAUUUUUUGUGGAAUUAGGUUAUGUAUUUUUCAUUUUUGAAAUUAGGUUAUGCUUACUUACAUGAAUGAAAGCUAAAUCGUAAAAGGACCUAUUUUACAAAUGAGAAACAUUGGACAUGGGCUUAAUGAAUGAAUUGCACAAUCCUAUUACCGAAGCAAAUUAAACCAUUUAAAUGAAUACACAAACUUCACAACAGUAGUAGCAACAGCAAUUAAGUCAUCACCAUUUUCCUUUGGUACCUUUGGUUACGAUUUCUUCUAUAGUGGGUUUGGUCUUGCGUUUGGGACAUUGUUGAUUGGUUAUGGGUGGUGCUGUCCGAAUUCCUUGUUUUAUGUUAUCUUAUGUAUUUUGUUUUUGUUUAGUUUUGAACUGGUCUGGGUGAGAAGCUUGGUUUUGGCCUUGGUUUUGAGGUCUAGGUGCCUCUACCCGGUUUUUGUGACUUGCUUUGUAAUCUAUUUUUUCUGGGUUUCUUUAAUGAGAUCAGAUUUCAACCCACACCAAAAAAAAAAAAAAAAGUAAGAGGAGGCUCUCUUUAUAAAAACCAACAUUGAUGUCAAUGAUGAUGAUGAGGAAGUUGAUGUUGAACCAGAUCAUUCUGCCUCUUUGCUAAUAUCAAAUCAACAAAACUCAGCUAGCUCAAGCAGUCGACACCGCAAACGAAAUGUAGAUACUGAUAUUCAAAAGAAAAUGGCUAAAGCAUUUGGUGAGAUGAUUUCUGAGUCUAUUGACCAAUUGAAAACUAUAACUAAUAGUUUGGUGAAAGGAUCAGAACCAAGACCUGACAUUGCUGCUGAAUUGGCAAAGAUGGACUUGUCUAUUAAUGACCAAAUUAAGGCACUACGGCUAAUUUUGGAGAAAGCAAGUGAUGAGAGAACAUUCUUGACAUUGGAUGGUGCUAUGAGAAAAGCAUUUAUUCUUCUCUUACUUGGGGCGAGGGAGCUGUGAUUCACUCUUUGAUGUAGUUUGGUUUAUGAACAACUUUCCCUUUUGCUCUUAUCACCUUAGCAUGUGAUCACUUUGAAUUAUACAUUAUUUGGUACUGUUUUUAUUAACGUAUGCGAGUAUGUUGGAAUUUUUAUGAGAUACUACAAUUAUGAUAAUGGGUUAUAUGACGAAAAAAAAUAUUGGCAAAAAUAAUUGAAAAACAAAUCUUGUCAUAUGAAUCUUACCAAAAAAAAUUCGUGUAAUUUGAAUCUCAAUUUCCAUUAAAAUUAUCAAAGAAAUUUUUUUUAUUUUAAAAAUAGUCUGAUCUGAUGUUAUCCAGAACAUCACCAAACACAGUAUAACUUAGUCAGACUAUUUAUCCGGAACAGCACCAAACGCCUUAUAAUAUUAUGGAUAAAUAGUCAGUACUCUCCGGAACAAAUUAAUACUAUCCGACGAAAAUUAGUCAAUACAGUCCGACGUACCAAACGAGCCCUUAAAGCUUGUGGAUUUUCAAAAUGAACUUGUGGGCAGGGAUGGAACAUAGCUUUGGCUAACCUGGGCUACAGCCCAGGUGGCUUUUAAAAUCCCAGCCCAAAAAAUAAUUAUAGCCCAGCCAGCCAUCCAAUUGAAUAUCCUACCUUUCUUAGGAACCCUUUGCUUGCACUGCCUUGCACGUGGGGAAUAAAAGGGAGAAUAGGAAAGUUGUAGCCUACAACACAUAGGAGAAAAGAAAAAAAAAGUGAAAAAAGAGAAUGCACACAGUCGAUGGAAAAAAAAGAAAAAAGUAGAAGAAAUUGUUUAACUGUUUUUUAGAGUUGUCGACUUUGUCAACAAACUCAUAUUGCACCCUUGCACACUUAAGGGAACACUCUUGUUAUUGUUGCACUCACCUUCAAGGCUUAAUUCAAGAAGUGAAUCAAGCUUCUAUAUUUGUCAGGAACGAUAAGCUUCUCUCAAUUUGUUGAUGUUGAAAUUUGAGAAUUUUUUUAGAUUUUAUUUAGUAUCAAUUACAGAUUUGCAAUUGAGACUUAUGAUUUAUUUAUCAAUUAGGGAUUUACAAUUGGAGCUUAUCAAUUUCAGUUUAUGAAUUAUGAAUUAUCAAAUAGGAUUUGUAAUUGAUUUUGGUGUUCUUGCUUAUCCAAUAGGUUAUACUUUAACUUUAUAAUAUUGGAUCAUCAUCCAAAUCCUAAGAAGACUAUUCGGGAUUUUUUUUAAAGAAAUAAUGAAGAAUCAACUAGCAUGCAUUCCAACCCUUCUCUGCCUCCUCCAAUUUGUGAGGAGCAACCUCAUUCUGAAUCUCAAAGAGUUGUCUGAAAGUUUAAGAGUUGAGUCUCAAAGAGCCAAUUUUGAUCAAGAAGUUGAUACCAAUUCUCUUGAGCGUGAUCCAGGAUUACGUCCUCAAAUAGACACAUUUUCGCCUAAUCAACAUGAUAAUGUUCGAAGAGCAUAUAUUCUCUUAGGACCAUGUCAACCAAAACUAAAGGAAUAUCCAUCCCACUUAGAAGGGAAACAAAUGUGUCGAUUUAAUGGUAGUUGGUAUAACUAAUAUCCUUGGCUUGAGUAUUCUGUUCAUAAGGAUAAAGUGCUUUGUUCUCCAUGCUUUCUUUUUGACGUUGAUCACUCACAUAAGGCAUCACUGUAGAUGGAUUUAGAAAUUAGAGAAGAGUUGGUGGCAAAGAGUGUGCUUUCCUUACUCAUGUAGGCAUUAUAAAUUCACCACAUCAUUUUGCUAUCCAAAAGUGGAUGGAUUUAAAGAACCCAACUCACCAUAUUGACAGAGUUGUGCAACCCCUACAAGAAGUUGCAAAAAAUAGGUUAAGGCAUACAACCACAAUAGAGGCCAUUAGGUAUCUAGCAAAUCAAUGAAUGGCUUUUAGAGGUGAUGAUGAAUCUCAUGACUCCUCUAAUCGGGGUAAUUUUAUUGAGUUGGUAGAGGCUUUUGCAAGAAUGAACGAAGAAGUUGAAAAAGUUGUGUUACAAAAUGCUCCUUUAAAUGCCCAAUAUAUUUCACAUAAGAUACAAAAGGAGAUCCUAAAUAUCUAUGCUAACAAAGUGAGGAAGAAGAUACGCGAUGAAAUUGGGGAAGAUGAGAAAUUUUGUAUUCUCAUUAAUGAAGCACUUGACGAUUCUAAGAAGGAUCAAAUGGCUAUUAUUAUAAGGUUUGUUAGUUGUGAUGGGCAUAUUCGAGAAAGGUUUUUUGAUAUUGUGAGUGUUCAUGACACUAAUUCCUCAACUCUUAAAAGUGAUAUUUGUAAAGUGUUUAGUAAGCAUAGUCUUUUAGUAAGCAAUAUGCGUUGUCAAGGAUAUGAUGGUGCUAGCAAUAUGCAUGGUGAUGGAGUGACUUACAAGCAUUAUUUCUCAAUGAUUGUCUAUAUGCAUAUUAUAUUCAUUGCUUUACUCAUCACCUUCAAUUAGCUUUAAAUGCUGCUGCUAAAGAGGUAGGACUUGUUUGGAGAUUUUUUUCAAUGUUGAAUAACAUUGUGAAUUUUGUUGGUGCUUCUAUCAUACACCAUUCUGAGUUAAAAUUAACCCGACAAGCUGAAAUUGAAGACUUAUUAGUAGUUGGAAGACUUGGAACAGGUAAAGGAACUAAUCAAAUUCGAUGUCUGCAACGACCUGUAACUACUCAUUGGGGCUCAUAUUUUAGUUCUAUUAGGAGUUUGAUUGAUUUAUUUGGUGCAACCCAAGACACUUCUAAAAGAUAUUAGUCAUAAUGGACCUACCUCACAAUUUCAUGGGAAGCAGAAGGUAUUAAAAUUUCUAUGUUUCUUUUGACUUUGUCUUUGCCUUGAAUUUGUUGGACAAAACAAUGAGAUUCACUGAUUUUCUUUGUCAAAAACUUCAAAGAAAAUCUCAAGACAUUGUAAGUGCUUUGAAUUUGGUUGCAAGUACAAAAAUGGAGCUUGAUGAGUUGAGAAACAAUGGUUGGGAUGAUUUUAUACAGAGUGUACGAUCAUUUUGUGAAAAACAUGAAAUUAGUAUGCCUAAUAUGUGUGCCCAUCAUACAAUGGGCACUGGGCGUUCUUAUCAACAAAAAGAUUGUAUCACAGUGGAGCAUUAUUAUUAUAUGGAUGUAUUUAAUGAGGUAAUAGAUUAUCAGUUGGGGGAGUUAAAUACUAGAUUUCUAAAUGAAACUAUGGAACUCCUUCGUCUUAGCUCAUCAUUGGAUCCCCAUGAUGCUUUCAAGCGAUUUAACAUUGAUGAUAUAUACACUAUUACUGAUAAAUUUUAUCCUCAAGAUUUCACUACAACAGAGUUGCAGGCUUUAAAUCAACAACUGAGAUUUUAUAAGAUUGACAUGGAUCACAAUCCAACCUUCAAGAAUCUUGAUUUCAUUCAUAUAUUACUUGAGCGCUUAGUGGAAACAAGAUUAGCACAAACCUACUACUUGAUUGACAGAUUGAUUCGUUUGGUACUAACUCUUCUUGUUUCUAUAGCAACAACAGAACGAGCAUUUUCUUGUAUGAGACUGAUCAAAAAUCGGCUUCGAAACAAGAGAGGUGAUGAAUUUCUUGAUGAUUGUAUGUUACUUCACAUUGAAAGAGAAUUUACUGAUAAUAUAGAUAAUUAAUUAUUUUAAUUCUAUGAAGACUCGAAGGGUGCAACUUAUAUAGUGUUAUUUGUGAGGUAAGGCUCAUUAUGUCCCUCCCUUGAGUAGGUAUAUUAUUAAUUUUUUGUUAUCAAUGAAAUUACAUCGUACUAUCAAGUUUUCUAUCUACUUAAUAUGAUUAUAUGUAAGGUAAAUUUAGCCCAGUCAAGUUUGAAAUCCUGGGUCUAUCCCUGCUUACAGGUUUAACUUGUCUUGUUCCAGUUUCAAUCUUAUUUUUCUAUUUUCAUUGGGAUUCAUUAAGAUUCAUGUGUUAUUAGUUGGGUUUGAGAAAAUCUCUUAGAAUUCUAAUAUGGUCUAUAGCAGGAAUGCAGCAUAACUCAACUUAAAUGAAUUUGUUAACUAAUGCCCAUUUGUAAUUUUUUUUUUUUUUUUGGAAUCUAUUUAUUUUGUUACCUUGCAUGUGCUCACCAUUCGUAGGACCAGAAGUCCCUAGUAGUUAAUUUAUAAAUUCUUUAUGUCAUUACACUAGCUUGUAUUGUGAGGUUGUUAAUUAAAAUUACCAUGUGUGAUUGGAAUUUCUGGUUGAUAUAACUAAGCAUAUUAAUCCUUAUGGGACUAAUAUUAUAUUGUUUGAUCAUAUAUAUAUAUAUAUUGAAUUGUUGAGAUACAUUAUUUAAUUGGAGCUGUAUUUUUUUUUAAUUUUUGCCAGGACAGAAAGUGUUUUGGACACGACUAAACAAUUCACAACUGAUAAGGUAAAUACUAUUAUUAUGAUGUUGUAACUUAUGAGUGAUUGAUAAUCUUUUACAACUACCACAUAUGCUUCUAUAUAGAUUUUUAAUAGUCGUGCGCAAGGACAAAAGUGGCAUAGUAGUUAUCAUUAAAAGGUUUGAUGGAGUUGGGAAAAAUAUAAUGAAGAGAGCUAGACUACUUUAGAUUGUGAGAGAAGUGAGCAUUAUAUUGAGAAACCUAAUGUAUAUUCAGAUGAUGAACAACCAAUGAAUUCUGAUGCAGAUGUAAGUAUUGAUCACAAAAAAAAAAGCGUCCUAAAAGCAUUGGUACAAAGAAGUGUGGUUGCCUGUUUCAGCUAAAGGGGUUAAAUAUUGGUCCUAGAGAUAAGUGGAAAGUUGAGGUUGUAUAGGAGUUCAUAAUCAUCAUUCUGCUGAGUAUCUUGAAGGGCAUUCAUAUGCAGGACUGUUAAACAACUUGCUGGUGGAUAUGUUUAAAAGCUUGGUGAGGCCAAAAGAUAUAUUAUACAUUAUUAUAAAUUUUUUCUAUUUAUAGCUGGAAGUUUUGCCUCAUGAAAUUUGUUUGUUGUUUUAACUAUACAUUUGAUAACUUUAUUUUAUUUUGACAGUUACACUUGCAACCAUAUCAUCAUAUGCCACCUGUUAUCAAUCGUUGGCUUGAUAUUUCCAACCUCAAAGCAUUUAAUUGGUAUAGUCUAUAUCAAGAUCACAUUGACAAUUGAAAAGAGCUUAUCGGUUCAUUUGAUGUGCAUCUUGAUAUUUAUUGAUCCCUUACUAUUAGAUGUUUUGUCACAAUAGUUUUAUUUUCAUCCGACCUAUUGGGUUUUGUAAACUUUUAUGAAGUUUUAAACAUGAAGUAUCCUUUGCUAAUGGAGUCUAGUCCCGUAAAAAAAAAAGGUCUUAACUUGUAGGGCCUCUUAGAUCGAAGUCCAAAAAGAUUAGUUGUCAUUGGGUUUAGUCCACGCGUUUUUGGUUUUAGAUGUAGGUCCUUUGACAUUUAUUACUUUUUUUGUUGUGUCAAUUUUACCCUUUGAUGUAAAUAAGGAAAACACAUUGAAAUAUAAAUUUAAUGCAUUAUUUCCUUGUAAUUGCAUUUCAGAAUUUAAAUUUUGAAUUAUUUCCUUGAUAAAUUGUGUUACCUAUAAGGUAGGAACAUAAAUUAUAAGACUACCUAUAAGUCAGAUACAAAAAUAGACAAAUAAAAUUUUAUGUCACCUAUAAAAAUUAGAACCUAAAUUACACAUUUUCGAAAAUAUGAAGAGAAAAAAAACACAUAUAUACCUAUGCAAUAGGCAAUAAGACAAUAUACCUACCCCGUAAACAAAUGCUUUUUUUCUUUUGUCAAAACAUUUAAAGUUCGAAAGAGCAUGAAUGUAGGUAAAAAUGUGAAUUUUGGGAAAUGUUUGCUAUAUUUUCCUUUUCUAUUCAAUGUCAAACGUUGUAAAUAGCUAAUUAUUAUGACAUGGAUGACUAUGAUCCCAUUCAAGUCGAAAAGGGCAACAUUGGAACAAAAAAUAAUUUUCAAAAUAAAUAAAUAAAAAGAUUACAUCAUAAAAUACUAAAAAAGGAAUGUAAUCCUAUGUGGCACAAAAGUCAAAGAACUUAAAUCAAAGUCAUCAAAUCCGAGGAUCAAACCCAACUCCUCAAUGAGAAUUUGAAUCUAUAUCAACUUUUCUAUAACUUAACUUGUAUGUCAAUAGUCUGAAGUUCAAACCCUACCACACACCUCUUUAUCUGAUUAGUUAACCUCUUUGUCUUAACUUUAGCUACGUAAAUUUGGACCAAAUAUUUUUGAAUAUUCAUGGGUGAAGCUAGAUAGGUACACCCUCAUAGUAAUAAGCAUUUAACUAUAAUACAAGGGUUGGUUUAACAAUGUUUGAUAAUUGACCUUUUCCGUUGGGUAAAAAAUAAAUUAAGAGGUGUUGUGGUCAUUGGUUUUCACUAUCAUCAGAAAACAAAACCAAACAAACUACAAUUUCCCAUAUGAUGUAAUCACAUGAUAAAAACAGCCUUGUGAAGACGACAAAAUUCCAUGUAUACUACAAAUAUUGUUUAAUGAUUUAAGUAUCAGAGUGAACAAAGAAAAAUAUGGGGUUUAAAUAGAAAAACUCUUUUAUUUUUUAUUUUUUCUGCUAGGUGUGUACACUACUACAUUUUACAAUUUGCGCGACGAAUAGAAUUUCGUCGUGCAAAGUACAUUUUAGUCAUACAAAUUUCAGCGCGACAGAAACUUUGUCGUCCAAAGAUCAUGAAGAAAGACUUUGCGCGACAAAGUUUUUUCAUUGGUCGUGCAAGUUUUGUGCGACGAAAAGUAUUGGUCGCACAAAGUUUUGCGAGACGAAAAACGAAGAAAAAUAUUGGUCGCGCAAAGUCUUGAAAAAAUUAAUAAUAAAAAACUAAUUUUUUUAGACUUUUGCGCGACGAAAUAUUUUUUGUGUUUUAAAAUUUUUUAAUUAGAAUAAACUAAUUUAAUAGUUUGCGCGAUGAAAUAUUUUGUCGCGCAAGGUUUUUGACUUUUUGUUUUAUUGUUUCUUUAAUAUUAAUUUUUUUCGAAUUUUUACUUUUUAAAUUUAAUUUAAUUGUAUGAUUUUUUUAAUUAUUUUAAUUAUAAUUUAUAUUAAUUUAAUUAUAUUAAAAAAAAAUUCAGAUUUUCACUUUUUAAAUUUAAUUUAAUUGUAUGAUUUUUUUUAAUUACUUUAAUUUAAAUUUGACAUAUUGAAAAUAAAAUUACAUAUGAAAAAUAGUGAUCAAAUUAUCUAAUAAAUAAAUAAUAAAUUAUUUUAUUUUACGAUUUAAAAUAUAAAUAAGGUUAAAGCUACUUAAUAAAUAUAUAUACUAUUCAAUUUCUUAAGUGUUAUACGUACAACAUAAAUAAAUUUAAAGCUACUGAAUUAAUAUAUAUAUAUAUAUAUAUACACACCAUUCAACGAUCCAACCGUCCAUUGAUCCCAUGACGAGAUUAUCACAAAUUCCCCAAGCCUGAUGAAUCUGGCCGUCUGUUCUUCGUCGUAGUCCAUCAAGAUCAACACACAGCUUUUGCACUUGAAAACUUGUGUGAGGCUUCCAUGGGAGCUCCUUUGCGUUGAACUGCUGCUCGUUGACAUUGAGCUCCCUAGCUAAAUGAAAUUGAUAUAAAGAAAAAAGAUAGGUCGAGGCUAAAAAGGAAAAAUAAUAUUAAUUUGAGAAGAAAAAGAGGACAACCUUAAAUGGCAGAGUGAUGAGAAAGUUGGUUGGCUUAAUUUGGACGUCUUCUGUGUUACCAUAUGAGGAUUUUGAAUUUGGCUGGGGAGAAACAAUGCAUGGUUGCAAAAUCUGACACAGUGCCACGUUGCAUGGACACCACAGAACUUGCGCCAUGUGAAUUUAACCCGAUAAAUUUGUAUUUUGGUUCUUAAACUUAGACUUGAUUUGCAUUUUGAUUCUUGAAUUCACAAAAUGCCUGAUGUACUCCCUUAACUUCACUUUUGUUACCAGUGUUUGUCCUGUGUUACUUUUUCUGUCCAAUUUAGGGACAAAGCAGUUGUUUACGUUCUUUCUAAUGGGCAUAAACAUAUCUUUACAUUCACCCUCCUCUUUUCUUUUUCUUUUCUUUUUUUUUUUUUUUUUCAAUUGAUCUGGUCAAGAUUGAGGAGAUUGAGUUGGAGGACAUAUGUGGUGGGGUAUUGGUUGAGAGGAAAUACUUGUGGGGCAUAGGUAGGGAAGAUGUCGUGGUGUGGGAGAGGGCAGGUCAGGUGAAGGGGGAUGGUCGUUGGUGGUGGACGGUGGGUUGGGUGCGAUGAGAAGAUGGGUGGGUCGGGAGGGAGGAAGGAAAGAGAGAGGUUUGUGUUGAAAUAUUUUUCUAUUUAAUUUUUUAAUUUAUUGUGAAAGGUAUAGGUGGAUUUUAAGGUUUUGAAAAGAAAAAAAAAGUAGUGGCUGAACUUCGAUGUUUGAUUGGUGUGAAUAAAAAAACUUAAGGCAAAUGGGUUUUGUUCUUUAUUAUUUGUUCUUUGUCCUUAUGGUGUUGGAUUGGAAAUAGUGGAUUUGGGUACAAAGUGGUGGUGGGUAACGUGGUUAGUGUGAGUAAUGAGGGCUGGACCUGGAUUUGAAGGGAAAAUGUUACCUUUAAAUUUAACAAAUUUGAUGACAUGAUCAAUAUUGCUAACGAAAAUGGAGUUGAUAGAGUAGUCAUUUUAUGAAUUCGAUGACCAAAAUGCAAAUCGGGUCUAAAUUCAAGAAAAUAUUUAGUUCUUCUAAUUUGAUGGUUUUUUUUGUUGUUAACAAUUUGAUAGUUUUUAAUAUUUUAAUGAGAAAAAAAAAAGUAUAUAUCAAAUAAUCAACCAGAUGCAAGUCCCUGACCACUUUAAAUUAACAAAUAUAUAUCAAUCCCAACCCCAUAUAUCUGGAAUCAAAGGUAGAUUAACCUGGUAAGUGAAAUUCAAAGCUCAAGAGCAUGGCUCAAUUGGGCCAUGUAGGCAAAAAGUCGUUAGAUUUGACUGACAGCUCAAAUUUGACCGGAAAUUCUCUCCCAUCACAAGUACGCCAUGGUCAAGGUCAUGCUGAUUGUUGACUGAAAACCUCAAUUUUUAAUUAACUCAGAAGGCUUGUGCACAGAAAGAAGCGAGAUGUGAGAGGCUUUUUGUUAGGUAGUUUGCAUCAACGGACUAAUUUCUUUUAUGCAAGAAUGAGUGUGAUGUGUUUGUGUUUGUCCAAGAAAAAAGUGAGGGUUUUCCCAUUGGAAAGAACGUAAAUCUAUUGUUUUGUUCCUAAAUUUGAUAGAAACGGGAUACAUGACUAAUACUGCCAACGAAAGUGAAGUUUAAAAACUACAAAGACAUAUAAUUAAGUUCGAGAAAAGUCAACUUUAUAGUCAUGAAUCCAAGUCAAGUAAAUUCCUUCUAAAUUUUCCAGCAAACAAUUCCUCAGCAAGCUUUCUUUCUCGUCUUUUAUUUCUUUGUUUCUUUAGUAGACUUUUAGUUUAAACAAUGAUACAUUAUUCUAACUGAAGAUUAUACUUUCUUUGGGCACUACGUUAUAGGUGAUGACUGUCAAGAAAAUUGUUUGAUAUCAGUCAGGAACCUUUGAAUUCUGCUCAUUUGACCUUGUUGGUUAGUCUUUUAUGCAGUUCCAUGUUCAAGUCUCACGUUGAACACUUCAUAAAUCUAGUCAUUAUAUACUAGCCACCUGAUUACUUGACAUGGUCUUGCCUUGCACUCUACGCUAUCAUCAAUUCUUCUUUCUUUUGGUUUUUUUUUUUUUUAAUUUUUAAAAAGAGACAUUUUACAGAAAACGAGAUUCGAAUUCAAGUACGAAGAGCAAACGCACUACUGUAGUCAAUUGACCAAACCCAUAUGUGCUAGCACGCAUUUGUUAAUUCUAGUAUAGUUAACGUGUGCUUUAUCGCUUUACAUUUACCAAGAAAGUUUCCCUUAGAAAAAUAUAUAUGGGAAAAUUUCCUUUAAACCCCAAAUAUGGUUUAAAGGUAUUAAUUCUGGUCUAAGAUAUGGUUCAAGGGUAUUAAUUUUGUUAUGAGGCAUGGUCCCAAGGUAUUAAUUUAUGUUAGGCAAAAUCAAGUGAUUUGAUUAAACUUAACAAAAAAAUACAAAAAACUAAUCCAACUGGUUCAUCAAAUGUGGAUUUGGAGAGAUUUCUCUUGGAUUAUUUAAUCCAAUUUGGUACCUACACGUGUAUUAUAUGCGUGCUUAUUAUACCAAUCUCUUCGGAAUUAAUAAAAGACCCACUUCCACUUUGAUCUUCCAUUUUCAUCAAACACCUUCAAAAACAAGAUCGAUCCCAGAAAAACCCAGAUGGAAUUCUGCGGGCAGCAAGUGGUUCUGAUCAGUGGGUGCUCCCAAGGAGGCAUAGGCCAUGCCCUGGCACGUGCGUUUGCUGCAGAGGACUGUCUGGUGGUGGCUACGAGCAGGUCACUGAGCUCCAUGGCUGACCUUCAGGAGGACCCAAGGUUGUUUUUACAAGAGCUGGAUGUGGUUUCAGAUGAGAGUGUGGAUCAUGUGGUGUCUAGUGUUUUGGAGAAGUACGGCCGAAUUGAUGUGCUGAUCAACAAUGCUGGGGUUCAAUGUGUUGGUCCACUUGCAGAAGUCCCUCUCUCUGCUCUGCAAAACACUUUUAAUACCAAUGUUUAUGGUAUUGAAAGGACACUCUUUACUCUCUUUCAGUAUAUUCUCUUUUGGCUCCAUUGUUUCCAGUUUUGUCCUUAACAUUCAUCUACUUGCUAAUGGUGAUUUCUUUUUGCUUGUCAUUCUGUUUGUGUUGUUUGUCGCCUGCUUUUUUAUAAAUAGCUAUAUGGGUUUUUGCUCAAAUUGCUGUUGAGGGUAAAGGGAGAAUUGACAAAUCCAAACAAAUCCACUUGUGUGGUCUCCAAAAUUUUCCUUUAUUAACUGCCAAGCAGGUCUGUUAUCCAGUGGCUUGUUUGGUCUAAAAUUUGCUGCAUAUCAUUCUCUUACACAUGUGAGCCUUUAGCUAUAACAUAUCAGUUUUCAAUUGUUCUCAUUCUAAUUUGAGCAUAUGCCCAAAAACUUAUCAAAAAUACACAAACCCUAUGUCUCUCACACUCUCUACUGAAAACCAGAGAAACUCAGCAAAAAUUUGAAGGCACCACAACACACCCUUUAGGCAAUUACUGAUUGACAUCAUCCUCAGAAAUUUUUUGAUCAAAUCGUAUUGGAUUAAUGAGCUUGUUAAAGCUUUGCAGAGGUUCUGUAUAAAACAGGAAUUUUGUCAUUAGUUUGCCAACCUUUAUUUUCCUACUAAAUGUGGCACUGGAGCUUAACUGGUCUUCUAAUGCAAUGAAGCACAUGGGCAGUAUCUUCUACAUAGGCUUUCAGAAUGAUUUUAUAAAUUUCAUUUAUAUUCAAUCGUCUCAUGCAGUGAUGCCAGCACAUUUUUCAUUUGUCUUCCUUAGCAUUUUCCUUAGUUUGUUCUCAAGAUGAUUGAUUGCAUAUGUACUCUUUUUGUGACUAUGGUUUAAGGUUCCAUGAGGUUGAUACAAGCUGUUGUCCCUCACAUGGCAUCAAGGAAAAAGGGAAAGAUUGUAAAUCUUGGAAGUGUUACUGUUUUGGCCCCUGGACCAUGGGCUGGUGGUUACACAGCAUCCAAAGCUGCUCUUCAAGCACUUUCUGAUUCUUUAAGGUUUGUGCAUCCCCAUAUCGCUUGUGGUUCGUAUUACAUACCUGUUUUAUUCUCAGUUUAAACUUUGGUUCAUAUAUAAUUACAUCAAAAGAAUACUCUGGUUCGUAUCUAGUAGUGUUCCCCCUUUCAUCUCAUAAAAAUUGAAAAUUGGUGCUUGGAUAAAACUCUUCUGAGUUAUUUCAAUGUUAGGAAGUGACUAGUUCUUAUGAAAGGAAUAAGCAGCAUCAACAAAAUUCCUGUUGAAAAUGUUAGAAGAUAUGUGACAAAAGGAAAUUUCCUAAAUUCCUAGCCAUUUGUUUUAAAUGAUUAUUUUGUCUAAAAUUUUGUUGUAUUGAUUUCGGCAUGCAAUUCAAUCAAAAUGAUGGGUGUACAAGUUUAAGACUAGGAACAACAUAGAUUGUAAUUAAUGUUUUGUUUUUGCAAAGGAAUGAUCUCUGCCCCAUCUAACAUCUGGUUGUGGGAAUGUCAGAUAUACUUUUCUUAAAAUUCUUGCUGGUUGACAUGCCACUUAAAUUUACUAAUUCUGUACAGCUUUGUCAUCUUUGAUUGUUUUCUUUUCCCCUUUUAUGAUUACUAAUUAUCCGCAAAAUAUCCAUGUUUAUUAGAUUGGAACUCAGGCACUUUGGGAUCAAUGUAAUCACUGUUGUACCUGGAGCUAUUAGGUCAAAUAUUGGAAAUUCUGCUUUAGCCGGCUACAACCAGAUGCCUGAAUGGAAAUUAUAUAAACCUUUUGAAGCAGCAAUCCGCGCUAGAGCAACUAUGUCACAAGGACCCCAUUCAACCUCUGCCGAAGAGUUUGCAAAGAGGACUGCGGCUGCCAUUCUGAAGGAGAAUCCACUAGCUUGGUUCUCCUAUGGCCACCACUCUACCAUUUUCGCAAUCUUGUAUCAUCUGCCACUGUUCAUAAGGGAUUUUGUCAUGAAGAAAGCAAUGAAAUGUUGAGCUCCUACAUUCUUUAUGGUUUUGUUUCCUAAUAGUUUUGUCUGUGUGCUCAAAGUACAUGUAUCAAGAUCGCCUUAUACAUGAAGAAAGCAUCAUGUUCGUUAAUAACGUAACAGGUUACAAGUGAAAAAUAUUUCCAUGUGUGAUUUAUGUAUCUUCCUUCACCUCAGUAGUGCAUAUGAAUAAUGUUAUAUUUGGUAAAAGAGCUUGGCCAAUGCCUAGCAAUCGGUUCAUGAUUGCAUUUGAUUUGAGUUUCACUGCCUAGUAUAAGUUGUGUUUGUGGAAAGAUAAUCAUGGAGAUUUGAAUAGGAUGGUAUGCAAAUGAGCUCUAUUUGAUCAAAUUCUUCAAAUCUGUUCAGAAUCUCUUUUUCUUCUACUUGCACAGAUAAGAUUUAAGGUCCUUCAACUUUCAACUACAAACAAUUUCGAGAUAUGCUGUGGGUUGUAGAUAUGCAUCAUAAGAACCUGAUUAAGUUGCUUUGCUGCAGUGGGUAGGAGAUAUCCAGAUUCCAGGAGUGUACAAACAAUUUUGUAGGGUGUGCUUGAUCAUUUCUAAUACAAGCUUGGAGUAACCUUCAACUACGAUGUUUGGCUAUAAUAAUUAUCCAAAAAUAUUGUUGGGAAAAUGAUAUGGAUAUUUAUCCGACCGAUUAAAUUUAUAUUGGAUCCUAAAAGCGAAAAUGCUGACCCCAGAAAUUAGAGCCAAAAUGCUGAUCUCAGAAGAAACGAAAAAAAAAAACACAAAGCCGCACAAAUGAAUAAACAAAAAUUUUGAUCUCGGCACAAAAUGUUUUUUUCCUCAAAAUUUCACAUUGGUUACACUUCCUACCUAAGUUAUGCAAAUUUCACAUUGGUUAUACUGUCUACCUAAAUAAUUCUAAUUCACUGAGAAUUAUGAGGAUGACCGUAAUACACCAUUCCAGGUGGCUGAAGUGGUCGGAAACUAGGAGCUGGAGGUUGCUGAGUUAAGGGUAUUGGUUGCUGCUGGGUAAUUUGUACGGCCUGUUGAUUCAUUUGCAAUGGCUGUUGAGUCAAAGGCACCAUUGGACUCACCAUAUGAGGCGGGGGAGGUGGUGGUCCUAGAGGCAAAGGUGGAAUGCUCCCAUAACCAUAUGAGCUCAUGACCCCUCCUGCUGGCUGUAAAUAUUGUUGGGAGGGUGGGUUUGGAAGCAUGUGAAAUUGACCUUGAGAGGUGGGGGCUUGAUUCUGAGGUUGGGGAACCAAUGCUGAUUGGUAUGAAUGGUUUGGCGGCACAGCAGGCGGCUGUGCUGAAAUAAAAACAUUGGCAUCUGAAACUGGUAUGGACCUUUCAGGUUUGGACAUUGAAUCAGUCCCCGAACUCUUGGGCAUGGAUGUGAAUGAAUUUGAAGACGUGGAGGGCUUUGUCAGACCAGCGUUCUUCGCUUCUUCAGCAGCGAAAGUAGAAAGAACAGAAGUCAUAAUCAAUUGAGAAGAACUAGAAGCAGCAAGCUUGUCUGCAACCAAAGCUGCAAUGGCUGCAGCUGAUUUCCUAGGUGUUUGUCCCCCUUUAGAAUUUCCAUCAGUCGGUGGACUAGUCGCACUUGAUGGUUUAAAUACAUAGUCUUCAUCAUUGAGUCGCUUCCGCAUGUUCGUGGCUUCUUCUGCCUGUGCCUGUGCUACCUACACUUGUCAAAAUAUAUCAGCUUAGCAGUCGGAUGAUCCAUUGGUCAAAUGUUACUAUAAUGAAGCUAAAUAAUAGUUAUCCCUAUAUCUGUACCUACUGCAGACAAAUAGAGAACUAAUGACUUCGAGAGCAAGACUCGUAUUCUUUACUUGACACAACACAACAAGACACAUGUUAAAUUAUCAAGGUCCAAUAAAUUAGGGGGGCAAAAGAUAGUAGACUUGGAACUUAUCACAACAAUUUUAUAUCAUCAUGUCAAAUGCUUUGAUGUACUAGAUAAUUUAUUUUGCAUGAUCUCAUAAUCACAACGAAAGAAUUAAAAACUAGCUUGAGAUCCAUGCAACACUUGCAAGUAUGAUAUUAAGAGUGGGAAUUGAAUGCAUCUAUUAGCACAAAGUUCACUGAAAAUUUGAGAUGAUACAAUUGGACUAGACAGCGUACAUGUUUGUCCAUGACCAACUAAACAUGCUCUGGCCUAGUGUAGGGUCAUGCAACAACAAAGUCUUUCUCAGAACCGUAACAACAGUAACAGGAGAGCUGGUCAUCAUCACACACAAAAGUCCCAAUGCCAAAAUUCUCCUCCAUAAAGGCAAGCCACUGUAAUGUAAAGCCCAUUAUAUGUUUAUAAGAAUACUGGACUUCCAUUAUAAUGAAUGGUAUUGACAAAAGAGCAAAUGUCCUGAACUUGUACUAACCAAUAGCACUCCUACAGCAAAAGUCUCGUAAGAGGCUCAGAACCAAAUCUCAAGGUUUGUUAGACAACUUUUGUUAUUUUUUAUUUUUUAUUUUUUUAGCUUUCACUUAUACAUGCUUUGAAAAUUUCCCCAAUUCAGCAACUUCUGCUGUAAUGGAAAUUAAGGCCAUUUCUCAAGCACAGCAACAGUUGUAACAGCUACCACAGCUGCCCUCAAUUUUUAGCACCAACUUGCAUGUAUUUUGAAAAAAAUUACAUUGACUCAUCAACUAACAGUUCACUAAUAAUCAAACCAACAUGAAAAUUAAGAAGCGUUGCAACAGUUUUGACCAUGGGUGGCAAUUUGGUAUGUCAAAGCAGGUUAGGGCAUGCCCACUUAUGCGUUACCCACUACCCUAAAUACAUGGACAGGACACGGACACAAUGUGGCGUUUCUGUCUGACUAGUGAUUGUUCAACCCAAUUCACACCUGAAUGUAUAUUCCAAGAAAAGUAAAAAAAACGUUUUUUGAAGACCUUCCUAUUGAGAGGGACGAUAACAUACUAAACUCACACACACCACACGGAUGCUAGGACUCGAACCCAGGACCUUUCCUGAGGGAGGAAUUGCUCCAAACCACUACACUAGUGGGUCCUUCAAAGAAAAAAAUGUGAAGUUUUUAAAGUUCAGUUAAGGCAGAAAUUGCAUUCCUUCUCUACUCUGUUCUCCAGUUUAUCAGUCGUCAAGCAAACCACCAUAUGUAAUUACAAAAUUUCACAAAAUCCCUUGAUGUUAGGUUUAAAUAACUAACUUCAUCUUCUAAAGUCCUAAAGAUGUGAGCUAGCUCCCAGCGACCUUUGGUUAGGAGACAGCCCAGAUCUGGGUUCAACUUUAGUAACUAACAAAAAUGGAAGGAAAUUACACCACGAGGGGAAAAAUAACACAGAAAACCAAAGAUCAAUAGCCACUUCCCUUCUCCACUGACACUAUAUCAUUCUGGUUGUCUCUUGCCCAAGUAAGACACUUAAUCCAAAAGGAUAACGAUGAGAAGGUUGUAUCCUGUUUUCAUUUUGGUCUUCCCAGAAACUUGUACCUGUCUAUGGAAGAGGAGAGUAACUCGUUUGGUUUGGAUGUUAAAUGACAAAAUUUUGGCACCCCUUCUUGUAACAGUUUCCAGUGGCCAAGUGGAUGUUACCUUAUAAUUUACCAAAGAAGAGGCAAUAUAGCAUUCUAAAUCAUGAAAAUACAAUGUGCCACAUAACUAUCCAACAAUCUUCCAGUACACACUAUGGCAUGAUGAUCAAAGGUAAAAUUUUAUAACAUGCAAACACUCCAUCUCAUAAAACUUUAAACAAAAGCAGGGAAAAAAAACACGAACAACAACAAGAAGAAGAAUUUAUUGAAAGAUUCAAUCAUUAGAGACAUACCUGCAUAUGAGUCCGAACAUUCUCCAGUUCAGAUUCCUGACAAAGUUUCCAGAAAGUUAGCAGAAGCGUACAACAUGAAAAGCUUCUUGUUGAAGGGAGCACAACAUGGUUCCUUAUUUGCGUGUUUUCGAACUAGAAACCUGAUGAACAAUUUUUAUUUAUUUAUAAAUGGCUUGAUUCAAUACCUGUUCAUGCAGAGCUUCUUUUAAUUGAGAUACAAGCGCUACUCUACUUGCUUCAACUAAUUUAAGUUUUUCAAUACAUUGCUUCAAAAGAUUUUCUUCCUCCUCUAGUUCUUUUGAUAAAGUUUUCCGCUUUGGAUCCUUUGCUGAAGAUAAAAGAAAAUUGGGUUAAGAGGCCACAAUUUUGGAAAUCAGGCAAGACUUAAAUGCCCUUAUGCAAAAGGACGUAAUUCUGAAAGAGCUAAAAUUAUUUCUAGUCAUAACCAAAGAUACUUUACCAUUAGUACAGGCUAUGUCAACAUCUUUCUCCAACUUCCUUACACGAUGAACUGCAGAUUUGCAUUUACUCAUCUCAGCAUCUUCAGUGGGAUGUUCACUGAUCACUGAGUGAAAUGCAGAUACGAUCUUCUCAGCUGAACCACCAAUGGAAAGUUUCUGGUUUCCAAAUAUUAUGAAGUUAGCAAUCACUCAAAUAAGUAGAAAUACAGGAGCAGAACAUGUCUUAAGUUGAACAAAAGACUUAGUUCUGCAGAUAUGGUAGUCACAUAGAAAUAAAAUGAAGCAAAAUGGGAAAGGAACUAUAACAGAAGCUCUUAUGCUCACCGUUCUGAUAGAGCGUGAAUCUCUUUUUACAAUUCUGACUGAACGUGAGCGCUUCUUGCCGUUGAAUUCCAAGGGUGGAGGCACUUCUUCCCCAAGCAUUAGUUCUUUGAGGCUCCGGGCACGAGACCCAAAUACUCGCCUCUCUUCCCAUAUUCCAACCUAAAAAAUUUGUAAGAGAUAGCAAACCAAGUUGAGCCAUUUUGUACAUCGUAGAAGGAAUUAAUAAACCAGUUGAUCAAAAAUUCUUACAGUUAGACUGGUGCACAUGAUUAAAAUAUAAGUAGAGUCAGCUAGCAUUCUUUGGACCAGGUAAAGAGGGAGAGAAGAAUAUUUAUGUUAAAAGUUCAAACAGAUAUAUGUUAAAUACCCAAAACCUAUUACUUGUCCGCCUACUUAUGGUUAAAAAAAGGAAGAUGUUAUUGGCACUCCUCACUAAUGAAAAAAAUAAGGGAGGGAGCUGUGCAGGACGACUAUUUUGGAGUGCUAAUAACAAUUUCCUUGAAAAAUAUUCAAGAUUGAAAUUAAAAAAUUGUGACAGCAAUACCUAACUCUAAAUUUGUUAUUAGUAUAACACUGCAUUUUCAAUUAGUGGCUAUAGGUUCAUGCUAUCAGUUGCUGGAUUUGCUAACUGAAACAAAAUAAAUGAAAGAGGAACUUACUAAUCUAGAGACAACAGUCUUUCCAUGAUCAUCGCCUUCCUCAAUAACAACUUUGAGCGCAGCUGGAAGAACCUUCCAAAACUCGGUAACAAAUUCAUUUCCUUUACGCUUACUGUUCUGUAGGAUGUCAUUUGCAAGAUACAAGAGAGGAACUUUCUGAACCAUCUGUGCAUUAUGGAAUUGUUUAUCCCAUGUUGUAACAACCAGUUCCGCUUUGCUUCGGUGAAAUAUACACCAAUGUGACAAAGCUUAUUAUAAAGUCAAGGAAACCGCAUUUUACCAGAGACAUUAAACAACAAUGCUUCAGAAUGCAUUCAAGUUAACAAGAAGUAGACUCCGGCACGUUUUUUAAACUUUAAACUCAACCUUCAAUGAAAUUUUUUAUAAUAAAAAAUGUUUAAAAUUGAAACCAAUAAAUAAAUAAAUGAGCAAUAGGCCAAAAGGUUAUUCAAAUUGGGCUUCAAUCAUAUGUAUCUUGUGCAUGUACUGUCAUCUAGCCAACAUUUGAAAACAUUUGAUGUUUUCACUAAUGUAAGUCAUAAACCAAACCAGCUUGAUAUGCAGAUUGAUGGUACUCAUAGAAUUAAAUGAAUGGUGUUGUGCAUCUACUCCUCCAAGGAGCAAACCAUCACUUAGUUCCCAGUUAGGCUUCAUCAACCAUUCAAUAGACUUCUUCCACAAUUCUGGAAAGUUAAAUUCUAUUGUUUUCCCCUAUUUUUUAAAGCAAAAUUUAAUCAUGAAUUCAGAAGUACCAUAUUAGCUAACAAACUUCCGUUAAGAAAGAAAAGGGUACUCUUUACAACAUUGAAAAUGCUGAACUUGACAAAGGAAGCAAAAUGGUAAAAACAGUCAAAUCAAGCCAUCUCCUUCAACCAACCGACAGCACACAAGCAAUAAAUUUUGGAAUUUACCUUUGUUGGUUUCUAUAGAAGCAACUCAAAGUUUAAAAUCAGCUAUCCUUUCCAUGUCCCGUUUUAG